rnacentral:lncRNA from 1 species
AAGGCAACCCAAAAAGACCAUGCACAAGCGGGUCAAGUACAUACCAAAUAUAGUUACGGGCUUAGAUACUAAUCCAACGGUCUCUUACUUGGAUGAGUCUAGUAACUAUAGUGUAAGUACAAUCCGAUUAACAAUCGUAGCUCUCAAAGAUGUUGUCGAACUCUGAUCUUAUCAGUAACUUGUCCUUUAGAUCAGGGAUCGUAUAGUCCUCCGUUCUAAAUAUCGUGCGGACAAUUAAAUGGAACACAGUCAUACUUAUUGUCCAGCAGUUUGUUUCUCGAUCUCUGAUUCGUCUAACAUAGAACUUAAUUAAACUCAUCAAUUCAGUCCUGAUCGGGACCGACACAUAAGUCAAACCAAAUCAUCGAAGGGCCCGGAUAUCGCUUUUACCCUCUUAGGAUAAAAGGGACCGAUAAACUUCGACUUAUAUACAUUUACCAUUCACUCAUCAAAUCAUGCACAACAAUGCGUUUUAUAACAUCAUGUUACUGAUACGUUUACGCAUUAUCAAUGCACAACUAAUUUUCAAAAAAUAAACCAUAUAUCUAGGUUUUAAGACCAUAUGAUAUUAUCGUCUUGCGAUCACUCAUGAUAAAUUCCAUGAAGUGAUGCCAGAAAGCACGGGUUUAAUCUAGUACUCAAAUCAAAUUCAUAAGCACUCAUGAACGUUGCAGCAAACCUUUGCUAUGUCUAAUACACUUUAGACAAUCUACAAACCAAUUCAUGACAAUCUUCUUUCAUACCUACUCCCAAAGUAUAAGCGACUGUAGAACGUUAGAAUAAUCUUAUUAUUCAGGAAGUCAAAACAUGCAAAGUGAAGCAAUAGGAAAACAAUUAACAUAAGACAGUAACUUCACUUAUAAAUAAUACUCCUUUAUUUAAUCAUCAAAUGUCAAUUACAUUUAUCUAUUACACGUUUCGAAGCUAUCUAAUCUAAACUAAUACCGUCCUUCAGCCCGAUGCUCCUAGCGUGCUGUAAGUGCUUAACCUUACUCAGUCCCUUCGUAAGGGGGUCUGUUGGGUUAUCAUCCGACGAUACCCUCUUCACUACGAGGAGUCCCUCUUCUACCCAAUGUCGAAUAAAAUGAUAUUUCCUGUCGAUAUGUCAAGAUCUUCCAUGAUCCCUCGGUUCCUUGGUUAAGGCAACCACUCCUUCAUUAUUACAGAAAAUUUCCAUUGGCUCCUUUAUGGCUGGCACAACUCCAAGGUCUCCAAUGAAGUUAACCAUAUCUCCUCCUUUGACGCUUCGCUCGCCGUAAUUUACUUUGAUUCACACAUUGAAUCAGAUACGAUCUCUUGCUUAGAACUUUUCCAUGUCACUGCUCCUCCAUUUAGGGUAAAGACUCAUCCCGACUGUGAACGGUAGUUGUCCCUGUCGGUCUGAAAACUGGCGUCACUAUACCCUCGCACCCUUAAGUCAUCACUCCCACCGAGGACUAGAAACCAUUCCUUGGUCCUCCGAAGGUACUUAAGAAUAUUCUUGACUGCAAUCCAAUGUGAUUUUCCAGGGUUCCCUUGAUAUCUGUUGACCAUGCUCAAAGCGAAGGCCACAUCAAGGCAAGUAUAAGUCAUCGCAUACAUGAUCGAUCCGACUACGGAAGCGUAAGGUACUCGGCUCAUCUCUGCUAUCUCGACUUCGAUACUCGAGCUUUGAGUCUUACUCAACUUGACAUUACUUUGGAUUGGUAACUCCCCAUUCUUAGAAUUCUCCAUACUAAAACGCUUUAGUACCUUGACCAAGUAAGUAUUCUAACUAAGUUCUAUUAGUCUUUUACUGUUGUUUCUCACUAUCCUUAUUCCCAGAAUAUAGACAAGCUCUCUGAGGUCCUUCAUAACAAAACACUUCCCAAGCCAGGACUUGACUUCCUGCAGCGUCGGGAUGUUGUUUCCUAUGAGUAGUAUGUCAUCGAUAUACAGUAUGAGCAAGCUUACUAUACUCCCAUUGGCUUUGACACACACACAUGAUUCAUCAUCGCUUCGCAGAAAACCAAACUCUUUGACUUUCUCAUUGAAACAAAGAUUCCAUCUGUGAGAUGCUUGUUUCAAUCCAUAAAUGGACUUCUCAAGCUUACAGACUCUCUUGGGGUGCUUUGCAUCGACAAAACCCUUUGGCUGACUCAUGUAAACAUCCUCAGCCAACUUCCCAUUAAGGAAAGCGGCUGUGACAUCCAAUUGCCACAUCUCAUAGUCAUGAAAUGCAUCAAUGGCUAGCAUCACCCUAUAGACUUUAUCUUUACAACUGGUGAGAAGGUCUCAUCAUAGUCAACUCCGGGAGUUUAAGUGAAACCCUUCACAACCAAUCGCACCUUAUAGGUGUGUACCUUUCCAUACAUGUCGGUCUUCUUCUUGAAGAUCCACUUGCACCCGACCGUCUUAUGACUUGGCACAUUGUCAACCAAAUUCCAAACUUGGUUGUCAUACAUGGAAUGAAUCUCACUGUCCAUAGCCUCUUUCCAUUUUAUAGACUCCGGGCCUACCAUGGUUUCCUUGUAGCUGUUAGGUUCAUCCAAAUUUAUUAAUGUACUAUCACUAAUAAACAUAUCACCCUCACUUGUUAUAUAAAACCAUACAACACAGGUGGAACACUAACUCUACUGGAACGUCUAAGAGGUAAGGAUUCGUCAAUCGGUUCAACCGGAGUUUCCUUCUUGGGUUAUGUGCCAGUGUUAGAGGUUCCUUGAUCGCUCGACUCUUGAAGCUCUUCAAGAUCGAUUUGCCUCCCAUUGUCCCCUUGGCUUAUGAGUUCUCACUCUCGGACAACCCUUCUCCUCACAACGAAGACAGCAAUGUCACCCGGUCUAUAGAAGAGAUAUCCAAAGGACUUAUGCGAGUAGUCGAUGAAAAUACACCACUCACUAUGGGGUUUGAGCUUGUCGUGAGUCUCUCGUCUUACGAAAGCCUCGCAACCCCAAACCUUGAUAUGUGCCAACGAGAGAGCUUUCCCUGUCCACAUCUCGUGAGGUGUUUUAGCAACCUUCUUUAUAGGGACUAAGUGAAGGAUAUGGGUGGCAGUGUCUAAGGCAUACCACCAAAAUGAGAUAGGUAGCAAAACACGCCACAUCAUGGAACGAACCAUGUCUAGCAAGGUUCGAUUAUGCCUCUCAGCCAUACCAUUCAACUACGGUGUCCUAGGUGGCAUCAAUUGCGAAACGAUUAUGCAUUCCUUGAGGUAGUCGUGGAAUUGAAGACUUAGGUACUCUCCUCCUCGAUCGGAUCAAAGCAUCUUAUUUUCCUGCCCAACUGAUUCUCCACUUCUUUUUUAAACUAUUUGAACUUUUCAAAGGUUUCCAACUUAUGCUUGAUUAAGUAGAUAUAUUCAUAUCUGUUAUAAUCACUGGUGAAAGUCACAUAGAAGCGGCUCGCAUCCCUUAUGGUGGAUCUAAAGGGACUACACACAUUGGUGUGUAUGAGAUCCAAUACCCCCUCACCCCUUUCACAAGUGUUAGUGAAGGGUGACUUGGUCAUCUUUCCAAGAAAACAAGACUCGCACACGUCAUCGUCCCUAAGGUCGAAUGACUCCAACACUCCAUCCUUUUAAAGUUGGGCUAUGUGCUUCAAGUUGACAUGUACAGGACGACAAUGCCACAAGCAUGCUUUAUGUAAACCAUUGGAAGAAUCAAUACAUAACACAUCAUUUCCUAAAUUGUCUACACCCAUCACAGUUUCAUAUAUCCCAUUACAAGGUAAUGCUUCAAAAUAGAAAACACCAUUAAGAUAAGCGUUAAUUGAACCCUUUUCAUCAUCAAAUGAAUAUCUAAAUCAUUGUAUAUACAAACCAUGAAAAGAAAUGAUAUUUUUCCAUAUCUGGCGAAUAGCAACAAUUAUUUAAAUCUAGUCCUAAUCCAUUACUAAGCACUGAAGAGUAAACUCCAAUCUUGGUGACAGGCGACGAUCUUCUGUUCCCCAUGAUCAAGUUUAUCUUCCCAUGCUCCACAUACCUAUUUAUUCAUAGGCCCUGCAAAUCAGAACAAAUGUGAAAACCACAUCCUAUAUCAAGUACCCAAGAAAUAGCAUGUGAUGAAUCAUUAGAUUUAAUAGUGUUAAUACCUACAUAGGAUGGCUUGAUCUUUUCAUCCUUGAUGUUUUGCAGAUAUUUCGAGCAGCUUCGUUUCCAAUGCCCUAUUUCGUGGCAGUGAUGAAACUCUGCAUCCUUGGGGUUGGAGUUAGGUUUAGCAGAACCAGCCUUAGUUCCACUAGAAGAGGUGCCAUCAUGGGACUUUCCCUUAUGGUGGCUCUUUGAGAGAGCCUUCCUCUUCUUACCCUUUCCUUGCCCAAUAGCCAAGACUAGGGAAACAGUAGGAGUAGGAGUUUGUGCAACGGACUUAUCCUUUGACCAAGAGUGUGGCUGGUAAAAUGGUGGGGAAAGUACUCUUGAAUGACCACGUAUGGUGGAAGGACAAUGGUUGGUCAUGGAGUGGGCAUGGGGUGGUUGCUUGUGUCAUACACUAAGGCAAAGUCAACACUCCACCACAAGAUCUUACUUAAUAGAUUUUUACUCUUAAAUAAGGAUUUCCCUAAAAAAAAUAUGCUUAAUUUAUGAAUAUAUGUGGUCUUAUAUGUUAAAAUAUAAGUUUGGGUGAAAAUCCCUUGUUAAAAUAAUUAAAAACGGGCUUAAAACGGAGUCGUGGUCGAAACCCGGGUGAAAAAUGGGAAAAUCCGAAGUCAGGGCGAGGGUUCCGGUCUUAGCAGCCUUAGGUCCACAGGGAAGGUUUGGCUAGUGAGUUGGGUCCAAAGUGGAAGGGACUGUGGUCCGAGCAGGUACCGCAGGCGGCUCGUCAAGAAGGACCGAAGGCGAGGUCAUGUGCGGUGCUCCAGCUGCAGGUGUGGUUCAGCGCUGCGAUCUUCAGCACCCUCGGUCCUCAGCAGUUCCGGUCUUAUGGUUGCGGUUCCUUAAGAGGCCUUCGGAUUUGGUCCUUGGAGCUUCGGCUCAAGGAGGGUUUGGCCCCUAUAGAGAGACUUCGACCCUAAAAGGCUAUUUUCCAAUGAAUCUUCCCGUUUCGAAUGGUUUUUCACCAAAUCAAGUGUCGGGAUGCCCCAAAUGAUUAAAAUAAAUCAAAAGGGGUUUUGAGAGAGAUUUGGGAGAGAUUUGACAUACUUGGAGAGAUUUGGGAGAGAUUUGACAUACUUGGAGAGAUUUGGGAGAGAUUUCACAUUCAUGGAGAGAUUUCUCAUACAGAGAGAGAUUUGGGAGAGAUUUCACAUUCUUGGAGAGAUUUCUCAUACAGAGAGAGAUUUGGGAGAGAUUUCACAUUCUUGGAGAGAUUUGGGAAAGAUUUCACAUUCUUGGAGAGAUUUCUCAUACAGAGAGAUUUGGGAGAGAUUUCGCAUUCUUGGAGAGAUUUCUAAUACAGAGAGAGAUUUGGGAGAGAUUUCACAUUCUUGGAGAGAUUUCUAAUACAGAGAGAGAUUUGGGAGAGAUUUCACGUUCUUGGAGAGAUUUGGUAGAGAUUUCGCAUUCUUGGAGAGAUUUCUCAUACAGAGAGAGAUUUGGGAGAGUUAGAGUGAAAGAGAUUGAGAGAGACUUCUUUUGAGACCUUUUUGAGUGUUUGACUCUGUAAUUCAAGGUUUGUAAACAUCGUUAACUCUUGUUAUGAUUGUCAUAUGCCCCCGAGGGUUAUGGAAUAAUGUUUUAUCGAGUAGUUUCAUCACUUGCCCUGAUUAGGGUUUAGAGUUUUCGAACAUGUGAAAACUCUAAGUGAUACUUUGUAUUAAGAUUACGAGUUGUUCAAUAAGAAACAUAAUGAAAACCCUAAUAUACAAGGGUUAGAUGAGUUGACCGGUUUGACUUGUUGACUUUAGUUGACUUUGACUUGACUGGAAAUUGACGGUUGUCACAUAACUUCAGUAGGCGGUCAACAUACCUUUGCAUUUUCUGCAGAUGAGCAGUGACAGACUCUCCAUCUCUCAUUUUGGUCGUGAUCAUCAAAGUGAUGAUCUCGUACCUCUCCUGCCUCGCACUUUGGUGAUACCUUUCCACCAAUUUAUGAUGCAUUUCGUAGGGAUAGAAGACCUCGUAGGACAUUUUGCAGUUCAACAGUCAUUGUCACUAGCAUGAUGCAAUGGACUUUCAUGGAAUCACGCUCAGGGGCCUCGAAGGCAGCGAUCUCUUUAGGAGUGGCAAUGUUCAUAUCCACCUCUUUCAGAUCCUUAUCGAGGACAUAUUCUUUGUCCUCGUAGCGGGUGACCAUUCUUAUGUUACGGAUCCAAUCAUUGAAAUUGUUUCCUUCAAAGAUCACCCUCCCACACAAGUUCAUGAUUGAGAAUGAGCCGGAGGCGUUUGAGCCAGAAGCGUUGUUGUUCAAGUUCGACAUCUGAAAAAGAAAAGAGACAAAGUUUGAUUAGAUAACAAUCCCCAACUAAAACCCCCAAAUGAAAAAUUAGGGCUAGGAUCCAACAACAUUAUUUACAAUUUAGAAGAGGGAUGCCAUCUAAACAGCACAUAAUUUGAAGGUAAGUGAAUGACGAUUCACUAGUUUCCACCAUGAAAAACAAACUAAAAUUAAGUUUUAAAUGUAUUGAAAACUCCUAGAUCUUUUGAGAUUCAUUGAAAUUUUCAAUGGCAUGUUUAAAUCUCGAUAUGCCCCUCAAGUUUGUGCUGGGAUGCCGAGGAUCACAAAGCGGGUGUGAAUAACCAUGCAAAUGCACAUGGUGCCCUCAAUGUUACAGUCACAUAUUUGACGUGUCAGUUAACCACACAUGCUCCAUAGAACUAUGAAAAACAUCGAGUCACCCUUUGCCACCUUUUCUUAGAGCCCAAUUAGUGUGCCAGUUAACCAAACACGCUCCCCUAACGUCUUAGCAAGGGUACAAAGUGUAAUUUCAUGGAAUUGCAUCAAUUCACUUUUGCCUAAAGUAACUAAGAUUGAGAAUUUUGAAAAAAAACAUUUAGUUACUUUAUAAAUUCCUUAAUAAUUUCAAAUUAAACUUUUAAUUAAAAAAUUUUAAUUCUAGGAGUUUAUAAAUUCCUUAUAAUAUUAUAAUAGUAUAUGGUGAAUUUUAAACUUGUAAAAUUCUAGGGUUUGAAAUUUAAUAAUUUCAAAUUAAACUUUUAAUUAAAAAUUUUUAAUUCCAAAACUUGAAGGCAAGUUAUGAACUUUUCAAAACACAUAGGAUCAAAUAGAAAAUAAUUUAAAUUAAACAUUUCAUUUAAUGAUUAUUUAAAUUUGACCUAUUCCAUUUUAUUCACAAGAUAAUUCAUCAAAUAAUUCAAAUAAUCAAAUUUUAUCAUAUAAGGAAUUUAUUAUUCAAUUAAUUGGUAAUUAUCUUUGGUUUUGGUAAGGAUAAUCACAUAAUAAUAAUAAAAUUCGGAUUUUAUUAGUCAAAAACAGUUUUGGCAAUUAUCCUUCAGCAAAACAUUAAGAAAUCCUGAGUUUCCCUCUGUUUGACUCCCCGACUCGCCGAGUCACUCGCUGGACUAGCCGAGUUGUGUCGACGCGCCAAGUCCCGCAUGUGAGUCACCGAGUCAGGUCGGCCAGAGGGAAAAAACGAUUUUUAGCAAGAUGAACAUAUAAGGCAUCAAUACAAUAGAAACCAAUCAUGGCUCUGAUACCACUGAUGAGUUUUAUACAAAAGAACAUCGUAUGUGCUCAUGCAAACCUUAAAGCUUUGAUCUAGCUUUCUUUAUUGUACAUACAAUUCAUCCAAUACUUAUGAACCCUAGAUCUAGCAUACAUAUUUUGAAAUUAUCAUAUAGGAUCAGAUCUAGAUGAUUACCUCUUCAAGAAUGGCUUGAAUCUUCUUCUCUUGGAGCUUAGAGUCACAAAUGUCACUCCUCUAAUGGCGUACAAACACCACAAGCAAGAUGAUGAUAUUGGAGAGAGGGGAGGAGGCACAAUUUCGGCUAUGAACUCUUCUAGGGUUUCUAGUGGCCAAAAACUGAUGCCCUAGGGGUCUAUUUAUACUUGUGCUGCUAGGGUUUCAGUCAAAACCCAAAUGGACAGCUUAGGCCUUAAGCAGUCCAAGGAACCUUCUGGAAUAAGGCCUCUAUUGCCGAAAUUAAGAUGGACACAUACUUAAUUUUGUCCAUGCCUAGUCCAUAAGGCUUCUCAGCCAAAUAUUCAACUAUCACACAAUUGACAGUUCUAGUCUCCUUUAUUUAAUUAAUGUCUUUUAUCCACAGAAAUUAAUUCUUGUCUAAUAUUAAUUUUAUUAUAUAGUUUCUCUUUUAAUAUAUUAUUCAUAUAAUAUAUUAAUAAACCAUAAUAACCUUUCGUUCUCCUUGAAUCAUCCUAUCAAGUUGCUUUGGUGAAGGCAACCCAAAAGGACCAUGCCNAUAUAUGCUUGAAGGCUUUAAAAGAAUGAUGGUUGAAAGGAUGCCACAAGGUGAUUGAUUUAGAUGGAUGUCUCUUGAAAGGGAAGGCUAGCUGCAAUUGGUCGAGACGAAAACAACCAAAUGUACCACAUUGCGUAGGUGGUUAUGAAUGUAGAAAACAAAGAUAAUUUGAAGUCGUUCAUCGAGGUACUAUACUCGGAUAUUGUAACAGUUCAAGGAAAUGGACUUGCUUUUAUAUAUGAUCGACAUAAGGUGUUUUUCGACCUAAUAAUGCUUAUUUUGACUAGUAUGGAAAUAUGUGGACAACCCUUAUGUCAAAACAUCCCUUAUGGACAUUUGGUACACUUUUUAACAAAUUUGAUAUAUUUGAAAUGAAAAAACAAGCUCUAUAUCAAAACAACCCCUAUAAACAUUUGUGGACACUUUUAACAAAUUUUAAGAUAUAUGAAAUGAAAAAACAACCCCUAUUUCAAAAACAUCCCCUAUAGACAUUUGUGGACACUUUUUAACAAAUUUUAACACAUUUGAAGUGAAAAAAUAGGUCGUAUAUCAAAACAACCCCUAUUGACAUUUGUGGUGGUGUUUAUCCAAAACAAAAGUGUUAUGCAAAAAAAUCUUACAUGUAUCUAGUUUUCUUGGAAUUAUCAAUUAAUUGAUGCCAAAAAAAAUGUUAAAUGGAAGUUCUGUUUAAUGGAUAUUGCGUUUGGCAACUUUCUAUUAGUGUGUGUGCACAAAAAGUGUUAUACAGAAAGUAUGACCUACAUAUAAUUACCAACUAAUUCUAGUCAAAGCAAAAAGUACAUUACUUAAACGGGGAAAUGCAACUGAUUUAUACCCCAAUAUAAUUAUAAACUGAUUCCAUAAAUCAAAAUGCAGGCUAGGAUUGAAACCAACAAAAACUGAAACUAGCAAAAAUGAACUCCAUAAUGAGAUAAUCUUUGAGCAAAAGGGUAAAAUCAUCCCACUGAUUUAUACCCCAAAGUACAUUUUUAAAACAUUGUUUCAAAUUUGCAAAAGUGCAUAAUACCAAACAACACUACCCUAUCACAUAAUUAGCAAUUUUACAUUAACCUAACUUGCCUUCUUACAUUAUUACAAACAAACUAAAUAUACGACCUAGAACAAUACCAAACAACAUCACGCUAACCAUGUAUAUAUCAGUCUCCUUUUUGUCAAUCACUUCAAAGUUCAUUAAUUUCUUCUACAGACCCAUGUUCUACUUCUCCAAUUCCAUAUUCUUCUUAGAAAGGAUCAUAUUAUCCAUGAACAUAUAUGUAUUCUCCCUAUGCAAGCCAUUAACUUUACUCUUAUACCAAUGAAGACCCAAAUCCUCAUGUAAUCAUACAAAAAAUUUACAAUCUUUUGAAGUAUCCUACAAAAAAAAAUAAAGUAUUUGAGUAACAUUAGAAAAACGAUAUCAGUACUAAAAGAAUUUCAUAUACCCAAGAAUUAAGGCAUCAAAUUAAAUGUCGGCCUGGGUUCUUCCUGUUUGUUGAAGUCCACAUCUUUGGUUUCUCACCAAAUUUACACAAUACAUUUUUAUAGCUUGAAGUUGAGGAAGAAGAAGAAGAUCCAUUAGAUUGGUCGCUUAUUUCUGUAACAUGAAUGUAAAGGAAGAGGAAUUGGAAUGAGAUCAUAAUUGUUGAAGAAACAGAAAUAAAUGCACCAUUUUAACCUAAAUUUGUUUUCCUACUGUAACAUCCCGAAAUUCAGGUACAUCUAUUUAACCCUUCUCUUUUCUCAAGUUGUCAAGAUUAGCCCUUGAGUGGAAAUUGUAGGAAAUAAGUACGUUGGGCGUACUGGAGAGUACGUUGCACGUACUCAUGCCCUUAAAUUGGACGCGACCUCACCUAGGUACGCUGGGCGUACCCAGGGUUACGUUGGGCGUAGUGGGCCAAGAUGAAAACCCUAAUAUUUGGGUUGUGCACUAUAUAAGGAAUGCUAAGGCUUUAUCCUCAGCCACCAUAUUAGAGAGUGAAACCCUAAGAAAGCAUUUCCUUUGUCCUAAAGCUUGUGUUGGAGUGUUUAGAGCUAAAAGUGCCUUUAUGUGUUAGUGAAGAAGAAGGAGAGGAGCUUGUGGAGGCUAGGGCUUGAAGUUCAAGUUUGGAUCUGAGUUCUUCAGAGGGAGAAACUUCAUUUAGAGGUAAAAAGCUCAGAACUUUCCUCUUUAUUUUGGUUUGGUGUUUCAUGGACCAUUUCUAGGGUUAAAGUCCCAAAGGUGGAGUCUUUAUGAGCAUAAGAGACUCCAUGGACCUAGAUCUAUCCCAUUUCAGUGAUAUAUGUGUUGUAGAUCCAUAAAAAUCCCAACUUGGUCGUGUUUAUUGGGUCAUUCUUGAGUUAUGAGCUUUUUCUAAGAUUGGAAAUGGAAUGUUACGGGUGUUGGUGACUUUUACAGCCAUGCAAAGGCUUAAAGUCACCAACUAUAUGGAUUAAGAGGCUUAGGGAUGGUCAAAACUAAAUGUUGGACGUGUGUCUUAACUGUUUAAGACCCCAAAAGCUAAGGAGUCUGAAACUGGGAGUUACGCGGGGCGUAAUCCCAGUACGCGUGGCGUAGGGGGUCGCAUUCCCCGUUUUUGUGAGGCCGCCAGGUAUGCUCAACGUACAGAGUUGGUACGUGCAGGGUAACCCAGAGAGUUGACUUUUGUUGACUUUUAGCAUUUGUUUAAUGUUAGGGUCUUUGAGUCAUAAGAGGGGUAAAAUGGUCUUUUACCCUUCUGAGAGUGCUAAGAGAGGGAAUAGUCUAGCCUUGAGAGUUGUAUUGAUAAGAGUGCUUAUUCCAUGUGAUUAGGCGGAGGCUAGACCAGAUUUUACCGAGUUCGAGAUUACCGAGUUACCCGAGGUGAGUCUUCUCACUAUACUUUACAUAGAGUGGUAAUUAGAGUUAUAGGACAAAGUCUCUUGUAUGUUAUUUAUGUGAUUGUGAUGCACUGCAUUAUUUCUAUGUGAUCUAUGUCGUGUAUGUUCCAGAGUUUACAGAGUUGGAAUCGGAAGGUUCACAGAGUUAGAACCGGAAGGUUCACAAAGUUAGGAAUAGAGGGUCCACAAAGUUAGGACCGGAAGGUCCAUAGAGUUAUAGCCCCGAGCGGCCAUUAUUUGUUAUAUGUGGUAUUUUGGGGAACUCAUUAAGCAUUUAUGCUUACAAUUAUGUGUUAUGUGUUUCAGGUACCAGUGAGGAUCACGGGAAGGCGUUGGCAUGAUCAGUACACACAUGAGGAGUUUUAUACAUUAUGAUCUUGGGUUGUGUUUCUAUGGAUUGAUAUGUGAUACAAUGACAUUUUUAUAAUAUUUAUGAAUGAAAGUAUGUUUUUGAAAAUGUGAAAAAUUGUUUGAAAUUUUUAGGUGUUAAAAGUUGCUAUCAGAGCCUUGGUUUGAGGGAUUUGGGUGCACCCUCGAGCAUAUCUGAACUCAAACUGAGGAUUUGAGAGAUUUUCAAAAUAAAAUCACAAAAUUUCCUCAAGGAGUAAAAAGUUUUUGAAAAGAGCAGAGCAGAGCAGUGUGUACGAUCAGCCAGCGCCGAAUGGUGAUUUCCCAAAAUACCUUACAUUAUGUGUUAUGAGAUAUGAGAUAAUAUGUUAUGCAUGCUAUAGUAGGCUAGGUAUUCUUAUUAGGACUAGAGUGGCCUGAUUUGUGAUGCCUUAGCCUAGGGGUUUUGCUGCUAGGAGAUGCUUGAGAACGAGUAGCUAGCAGCGAGGAGCUUAUAAGAGAUCUACUAAAGAGUAGACUAUGCAUAGAGAGAGUAGAGUACUUGGGACUUAGGAUCCUAGGAGGAGGACUUGCGGUGAAUACUGAUGCGGUGUAGACGGUAGUAUUGGGCCCAUACUACCAAAGGCAUCGGAUCAGUGCGCAGCCCAAGUAAAGAAUCCUUAGGGUACUAGGGAUCGAGUAGGAAUGGGAUAUCGAGUGUGUGUACACUCGAGCAAGUCUCUGAUAUUUUGUGUUGUAUUUUAGAGAGACAUCAUGGUUGGGACAUGCCACACACCUGAGAGCAGUGGUGUUAGUGAUGAGGAGAUCUGCAGGUUGAUUCACGAGGAGGUGGCUGCUGCCAUCUGAGCCGGCAUACCAGAGAUGUUUGGGUCUAUCAAGACCACCAUAAUCGAGACUUUUGACGAGCAGUACGCUGCUCUUACUGAUGUUGCUGUUGUUACGGCCACCACAACCGUCGCUGCUGCGAGGCCACAGGGGGUGACUCGUUGUUGUACCGAGAGUUCAGCAACACGAAGCCACCAGAGUUUGAUGGGAUGCAGGAUCCGAUUGCUACGAUGAGAUGGAUUUCCGAUAUUGAGGAAUGCUUCUAUACGUGCUCUUGUUCGGAGCAUCUGAGAGUUCGGUUCACGCUGAACCAACUUCGCUUGGGAGCAAUGGACUGCUGAAAGUUUGUGACAGCGCACUAUUCUUCUGCAGAGCUUGCCACGGUGACCUGGGAGAGGUUCACCGCUAUGUUUCUUGAUGAGUACGUUCCCCCGGUGGAAAGGGAAAGUUUGGCCCAGGAGUUCUUGACCCUCAACCAGGGUAUCAAGUCUAUUACAGUGAUCACCAGGAUGUUCCAUGAGAGGGCAAUGUUCUGCCCUGAGCACGUGUCUUCCGAGUAGGCGUGCAUGAGUCGAUAUUUGAGCAUUUUGAGGAGAGACAUCCGCGAGUUUGUGAUGAAUUCGUCGUACCGGACAUUUUCCGAGCUUCAGGGAAAUGCCCGAAAGAGGGAGAUUGAGCUCGAGACCCAGGCUAGGGAGGAGGUGGAGUCUUAGGGGAGGGAUCGGCGACCGGCACAGUCCCAGCCGGCUGCCAAGUGGGCCAAGCCCGCCGAUUCGAGAUCUGGGAACCAGAAGGGCCGCACUUGUGGCAAGUGCGGCAAGAGUCAUGAGGGGGUUUGUAGAGCAGGGUCUUGCUACAAGUGUGGCAAGGAGGGGCACAUGGGCAACGAUUGCCCCAAGGGGUUUGCAGUCUAUUUUCACUACAACCAGACCAGACACUGGAAGGCCGAGUGUCCACAGUUGUGGGGGUCAGCACAGGGAGCAUCAUAGGGAUCUGCCCCUGCUGCCGUAUGAGCUACGUAAAGUCGGCCAGUGAAGGCCGAGGCGCCAAAGGCUCGCAGGAGAGCCUUCCAGUUGACAGCGGAGGAGGUCCACGCAGCGCCCGCUGUUGUGGCUGGUACAUUUCUUCUGAGUUCUGUACCUGAUUUGGUGUUAUUUGACUCGGGUGCGAGUCGGUCUUUCGUGUCGUUAGCCUUUAGUCAGCACAUCAGUAUCUGUCGAGAGGCGUUGAGUCGACCUUUGCAAGUUUCCAUAGCUGACGAGAGAGCGGUGUAUGCCACUGAUGUGAUUCGAGGAUGUGUACUCGAGAUCUUCGGCGUUGAGUUUCCGAUUGAUUUGGUCCCGAUAUUGAUGGGAGAUCUCUGUGUCAUCGUGGGCAUGGACUGGUUGAGCAGAUUUGGAGCGGUUAUCGACUGCGAGCGACAGCUGUUGACCAUACAAGACCUUAGUGGGGGAGUUCUUAUGGUUUAUGGCGAGGGUACCUAUUCUGGGUCAGCAUUUUGUUCGGCUGCUAGAGCGAGGCAGAGCCUACAGCAGGGCUGUAGCGGGUUUGUGGCUUAUGUGGUGGAUACGAAAGUAGAUGCAGAGAGACCGAGGUCGGUCGAUGAGGUCCUGAUAGUGCGUGAGUUCCCAGACGUCUUUCCUGAGGAGUUGCCAGGAGUGCCUCUCAAGAGGCAGGUAAAGUUCCGUAUCGAUUUGGUCCCGGGGGCAGCGCCUAUCGCCAAGGCGCCCUAUCGCCUUGAGCCACCAGAGAUGCAGGAGUUAUCCUCACAGCAGCAUGAGCUACCGGGGAAGGGUUUAUUCGGCCGAGUACCUCGUCGUGGGGAGCGUGGGUCCUAUUUGUCAAGAAAAAGGAUGGUUCACACCGGAUGUGCAUUGAUUACUGGGAGUUGAACAAGCAGACGGUCAAGAACCGUUACCCUUUACCGAGGAUCGACGAUUUGUUCGAUCAGUUGCAGGGAGCGUCUUGGUUCUCCAAGAUUGAUAUGAGGUAUGGAUAUCAUCAGAUGAGAGUGCGUGAUGAGGAUAUCCAGAAGACUGCGUUCAGGACUCGUUAUGGACAUUACGAAUUCGUGGUGAUGCCUUUCGGGCUCACCAAUGCACCGGAGGCGUUCAUGGAUCUCAUGAACAGGGUGUGCAGGACGAUGUUGGAUCAUUCGGUGAUCGUGUUCAUUGAUGAUAUAUUAGUGUAUUCGAGAUCCAGAGAGCAGCAUGUGGAGCAUUUGAGGGAGAUCCUCGGAGUUCUGAGAUCGGAGAGGCUUUACGCCAAAUUCUCCAAGUGCGAUUUCUGGUUACGGGAGGUCCAGUUCCUGGGACACCUCAUCAACCAGAAUGGGAUAUUGGUCGAUCCGGCCAAGAUUGAGGCGGUGAUGAGUUGGGAGGUGCCGAGAUGCCCAUCAGAGAUUAGGAGUUUUCUGGGGUUAGCCGAUAUAUCGGAGAUUUAUCAAGGAUUUCUACAGGAUUGUUGUUCCUCUCACCAGGCUGACCCGGAAGGGUGUGGUUUUCAAUUGGGGCCCAGAACAGCAGGCCUCAUUUGAGACACUUCGCCAGAGAUUAUGCGAAGCCCCAGUGUUGGCCCUUCCAGAGGGGAUGGAGGAUUUUAUGGUAUAUUGUGUCGCGUCGAUAUCGGGAUUGGGUUCAGUGUUGAUGCAGAGAGGGCAUGUGAUAGCAUACGCAUCGAGGCAGUUGAAGCCUCAUGAGACGAGGUAUCCUACUCACGAUCUGGAGUUGGGGGCUGUGGUGUUCGCCCUCAAGAGCUGGCUUCACUAUUUGUAUAAGGUUCGGUAUACCAUAUACACGGACCACAAGAGCUUGAAGUGUCUGAUGGAUCAGGCCAACCUAAACAUGCGCCAGAGGAGAUGGUUGGAUGUGGUAAAGGAUUAUGAGUGUGAGAUCCUGUACCACCCGGGCAAGGCUAACGUUGUAGCCGACGCCUUGAGUCGUAGGGCAGAGAGUGCCCCGAUACGGAAUGUUUGUAUGAGGAUGAAAGUGAUGACUCCAGUUUUAGACACCAUUCGGGAGGCCCAGGUAGAGGCCAUGAGACCGGAGAACCGUAAGAGAGAACGGGUGAUCGGGCAAGUAUCUAAGUUCAUUGCCGAUAUCCGAGGCCUUAUGACCUUCUAGGGCCAGAUUUGGGUGCCAUUUGAGGGCGGGGUACGCACCAUUUUGAUGGAGGAGGCGCACAGGUCGAGGUUUUCGAUCCAUCCCGGGGCCACUAAGAUCUAUUUGGACUUGAAGAGAGACUAUUGGUGGCCCUAUAUGAAGAGGGAUGUGGCGUGGUUUGUAGAGAGGUGCUUGACCUGUUGUAGGGUUAAGACCGAGCACCAGUGUCUACAUGGAAAGUUGCAGCCACUUGAGGUUCCCCAGUGGAAGUGAGAACAGAUUUCCAUGGAUUUUAUCACCAAAUUACCAAGGACUGUGAGAGGUGCCGAUGCAAUUUGGGUGAUCGUUGACCGGCUGACAAAGAGCGCUCAUUUUCUGGCUAUCAGUGAGAGCUCUUCUGCAGAGAGGCUGACAGAGGUAUAUGUGAGGGAGUUGUUAUCGCGACAUGGUGUACCGAUCUCGAUUGUGUCAAAUCGAUAUGUACGUUUCACUUCUAGGUUCUGGAAGAAUUUCCAUGAGGAGUUGGGUACUAGGCUGCAUUUCAGUACCACUUACCAUCCACAGACGGAUUCAGACGCUUGAGGACAUGCUUCGAGCAUACGUGUUGGACUUCGGAGGGAGUUGGGACACGUAUUUGCCUCUGGCUGAGUUUUCCUAUAACAACAGUCACCAUUCGAGCAUUGGUAUUCCUCCUUUCGAGCUGUUGUAUGGGAGGAGGUGUCGGACUCCCAUCUGUUGGGGAGAGGUAGGGCAGCGAGUGAUGGGCAACACUCAGAUAGUGCUUCUGACGAUAGAGCAGAUACAGCAGGUUAGACUGAGGUUGUUGACGGCUCAGAGUCGCCAGAAGAGUUAUGCAGAUAGGAGACGAUCCGAGCUUGAGUUCCAGGUGGGAGACCUCGUACUCCUCAAAGUGUCUCCUUGGAAAGGAGUGAUUCGAUUCAGGAAGAGGGGCAAGUUGGGGCCCCGGUAUAUUAUGUCGUUUAGGGUGAUUGCGAGGGUGGGCAGGGUAGCAUAUCGUUUGGAGCUACCUGCGGAGUUGAUCCAGAUUCAUGAUACCUUCGACGUGUCUCAGCAGACGAAGUGUAUAGCCGAUGAGUUGGCAGUGGUGCCGUUGGAGGAUAUCCAUGUGGACGUGAGUCUGAAUUAUGUUGAGAGCCAGAUCACAAUCUUUGAUCAGAAGACCAAGGUUCUGAGGAACAAGGAGGUGCCUCUGGUUCAGGUCCAAUGGCGGCAUCAGAGGGGGUCCGAGCUGACUUGGGAGCUGGAGUCAGAGAUGCGGGAGCAGCAUCCGGAGUUGUUUCCAGCAUGAGACUUCGAGGGCAAAGUAUGGUUCUAGUGGGGGAGAAUUGUAACAUCCCAAAAUUUAGGUACAGCUAUUUAACCCUUCGCUUUUGUCAAGUUGUCAAGAUUAGCCCUUGAGUGGAAAUUGUAGCAAAUGAUUAUGUUGGGCGUUCUGGAGAGUACGUUGCGCGUACUCAUGCACUGAAAUUAGACGCGGACUUGCCUAGGUAUGCUGGGUGUACCGGGCCCAGAUGCAAACCCUAAUAUUUGGCUUGUGCACUAUAUAAGGAAUGCUAAGGCUUUAUCCUCAGCCACCAUAUUAGAGAAUGAAACCCUAAGAGAGCAUUUCCUUCAUCUUAAAGCUUGUGUGUGAGUGUUAGCACCAUUAUGUGUUAUAUGUGGUUAUAGCCCCGAGUGGCCAUUAUGUGUUAUAUGUGGUAUUUUGGGGAACUCACUAAGCAUUUAUGCUUACAGUGUUGUGUUAUGUGUUUCAGGUACCAGUGAGGAUCGCGGGAAGGCGCCGUCAUGAUCAGUACACACAUGAGGAGUUUUAUACAUUAUGAUCUUGGGUUGUGUUUCUAUGUAUUGAUAUGUGAUACAAUGACAUUUUUAUAAUAUUUAUUAAUGAAAGUAUGUUUUUGAAAAUGUGAAAAAAUUGUUUGAAAAUUUUGGGUGUUACACCUACAUAUCACCCAAUGUAUAACUAUGUCAUCUAUUUAGAAGCCACAUCAUUUAUGUCACCACUUGCUUAAAGCUAAAUGCUUAUAAAGCAUUAAUACAAUAAAGGUAAGAAAUAAUAGUGGUUAAAUUGUACAAAAAUAUAAUAUGAGGGUUUUUUUAAGCAUCCGUAUAUAAUAAAUAUGGUUUUUUUGUGGUUUUCCUAUUUAGACUUUUCACUUUUUAACCUACGAGGGUACACUCAAACUAAAACUAAAUUUAAUACACUAAAUAACUAAUAAAAAAAAACUUUGUUGCAACCUUGAAUACUUUUAUAGUUUUACUGCUACACUACUUCCAUUUUCUUUUAAAGUUCAUCACGUCACAUUCUAGCGAGUGAAAGAAAAAGAGAGGACAUGAGGUAAGAGAGAAAGAUAGAGACUUACAAGUCUGACAAUGAGAGUAACAGCCAUUAUAGUGGAGAGCCAGAGAUCACGAACAUCAGCACAAGUUCGUUGGAGAGGAAGCACUGGUCACAGAGGUUGUUGGCCGGAAUAUCAAUCAUUAAACCGUGGGGAGGGAUGAGGAGUGACAAUAACUGCACAAAGUUUAGUUAAUAGACAGAAAGAGGAAUUAAAAGCGGAUUUCAGGGAAAGGAAUGAUAGAGUGAUGAGCACUUCAGUAACGACGUUAUUGAAACAUCCCAAAAUAGAGAUAAAAUUUUUCAUUUUAAAAAUCAUCAAUCCAUACAUCAGAUGUCUCAAAAUCAAUCAUAAUACAUCUUAUCAAAAUCCUUAAUGUAAAAUAGUAGUCAAUGAGAAAUCAUAAGUCGGAUGUUAUGUGAUCAUGCUAGGCCCUUCCCUUUUGAACCGAAAGUACCUUAAACAUAAACAUGAAACCUUAAGCACAAAUCUUAGUGAGUUCCGUAAAAUACCACAUGCCAUACUAAUAAGUUGACCUAGCCUUGGGGUAUACUCCAACCCAACAUAUAAUCAUGGGUCUAGCCUUAGGGUGUAUUUCAACCCGAACAUGAAAUAAUGGGCCUAGCCCUAGGGUAUAUUUCGACUCAAUAAAUAUCAAUGGGCCCAGCCCUAGGGUAUCUUUCAACCCAAUACAUAUCAAUGGGCCCAACCUAAGGUAUCAUUCAACCCAAAACAUACAUGAAAAAGUCAUAAAUACAAAUAGCAUCCAACAUAACGCAAUCUAGUGGACCGACAUUCGUGCCUUUGACCCGCAAGUAAAGCAAGAAGUCUCACUUCAAACUAAAGACAAAUGAAUCUCACACCGGACCUAUCGAAACUAGAACUCCCACACUAAAAAAUACAUCAUAAAUCCCUAAUUAGAAAUUAACAUAAUAAUUCACACUCAAAGGUCUAAUCCUAAAAUCACUCUCUAUCUCUUUCUGGGUAAAAGACCAUUUUACCCUUCCAUGACCAUGACCACUCAACUUGACCCAAAGUCAAUUUUGACCAAAAUUCAACAUCUAGGGGGUGCGACAUGUGUACCAGGCUCUACGCCCAGAGUAGAGUCUUGGAUGGGAAUAUGGACUAAAUCAGGCUACGCCCUACAUAGCAUAAAUUAUGCCCUGACAUACCAACGUUCUUUCCCAACAUUCUCAAUAAGUCCUAAAUACCUUAAGAACAAAUGUCCAAUUCCUAGAUCUAAUCCUAAAUGUCAUCCUAAGCAAUAAAUUCUUCAACUUUAUGCAUUUACAUGGCUUAAUGGAGCGUAACACUAAAUGUAACACCCUGGUUAUUAAAUAAAUAAAUAGGAAAAUUAAUAUGAAUAGUAGCCCUAAAAUCCAUAUUUAGUGGGAUGUUGGUUUUCGGAAGCCAAAUGUAAUAAGUUAGAUUAUUCGGGGGUUAAAAUAUAAAUUCGAGAUUUAUUUUGUAAAGAUUUUAGAAGACACGGGGAUAUUUGGUAAGUAUUAGACUUAAUUUGUAAAGGAUUUCAGGAGGCAAGGUUAGAAAGGUAAAAUAUGGAUUCACUUUGAAAGAAAAAGGGAAGGGAGGGCCAAAAGGUAUUAUGGAAAUUAGUUAAGGGGACCGGGUAUACAACCCGUCAGCCAUUCAGGAAAAUUGAAAACAGCCACUAAUGUGGCUGGGGUGCAUUUUGCAAAUUAGGAGCGUGUGUUUUUGUUGUGUGUGGAUUUAUUUGGCCAGAAAAUUGAGAACAACCACCACCACCACCAUGAGGUGCUGGCUGCCACCAUGUACCACCACCGGUCACCACUAGUGUGCCCGUGUUUUUGUGUUUAUGUUAGUGAGUGAGUGUGUAUGUGUUAUUGCGAUUUGUGUUGUAAAUUGCAAUCAUGUCAGAAUAAUGAAAAGAAAACUCGUAACCACGGCCGUGAGGUAGUGGCUACANCAUAGUUGUGCUUGGAUUGCUUUUGGAGUGCUUGGACUCGUUUGGACUAGAAACCCUAACCACCACCGUGAGGUGGUGGCUGUCGUUGUGAGCCGCCGUUGACCACCACUACCCGAGGUGGUGGUGGGUGGUGUGUGACUUAAGAAAACCCUAAUUGUUCUAAUGAAACCCUAACGGGUCUAAGGACUUAGCCUUUUGUCCUAAUUGGGUUGUGAUGGGUGGGAAACCCUAAUUUGGGUUUAAAAAACCCUAAUUUUGGAUAUAUGGGCCUUGGACUUAUCGGGACCCACAUUUGGGCCAUUGGAAUGGAAGUGUGAAUUACACCCCAUCAUACCAUAUGAUUUAUCUAGUAGAGUGAUGAACUUAAUGGAUUAUGUCCUUAAUGGGUGAAGUGAGAAACACUUAAUCCUAAUCGUCAUUUUAUGUAAAAACCCUAAUUUCACUUGGGCCUUAAGUUGGGCCUUUCUUUUGGGAUUUGGUGAUUGGGCCAAUAAUGGGUCAUUCAAGAACAAUCAUAUGGACUAGAAUAACUACAUGUGCUUUAUGAUAAGGCCCAUAUGAGGGGUUCGACCCAAUUUGGAAAAUUACGCCAUAAAUGGGCAAUAAUUUUUGGCCUUGAUGAUUAUGAGAUAUUGGGCUAUUUGAAUGCCAAAUGUUUGGACUGGAAUGAAUACUUGGGCCUUAGGGUAUGACCAAGUAAGGGUUGGGCCUAAUUUGGAAAAUUGGGCCAUAUAUUGGGCUUUGACUCAUAGUUGACUUUUGGGCCUUUGGACUACGCCUUUGGCUUGAGUCAAGCUAAGUUGGGGGUAAAGUAGCCUUUUACCCUAAGCAUGGACUUAUGGGUAUAUGUUGGAACCCAAUUAUUGAUUGGGUAUUAUUUUGAUGAUUAACAGUUCGAGAACCUGCCAUCCAGCAGCUAGAGUUUUGUCUACGGGACUUUAGCAGUGUGAGGUCAGUUACCUUUCAGUAGAAGUGGGUCGAAGGCACCAAUGUCGGCCCAAUAGUACUUGAUUAUAGUUGAGAUGAUUGUCUUUGUGAAAAUAGUUUGGUAUGCCACCAUUUUUUAUCUGUUAUGUGCUAGUAUGCUAUGUUUUAUGGGAUAAUGUAGGAUGGGUAGGAUAGACCCCGGUAUCAGUUGUAGGGACCGACAGGGUAGGUCGGGCACCCCAGAUAUGCCUGACAGUAUGUUUAUGAUAUGUUGUUAUGUGAUAGUGGUAGUAGGAGGGGAAUAGUCCCCGUGUUACAGUCAUAAGGACUGAAGGGUAGGUCGGGAACCCUAGAUAUGCCUGACAGUAAGUAUAUGGUAUGCUAUUAUGUAGUAGUAGUAGGGGUCAAAAUAGUCCCCGUAGCCGGUUGAGAUAAAUGGAGGGUAGGCCGGCGCCCCACAACUGCCAGACAAGGUAGGCAGGCACCCCAAAAUGGCCUGACAGGGUAGGUCGAGCACCCCAGAAAUGCUUGACAUGGGUAGGUCGGGCACCCCAGAAUUGCCUGGCAGGGUAGGUCGGGCGCCCCAUAAUUGUCUGGCAGCAUGCGUUUGGUAUAGUAUGUGGUAUGAUGGGGUAACUCACUAAGCUUUGUGCUUACGGUUUACUGUUUUGGUUUCAGGUAGUUCAUUUUCAAAGGAAAGGAGUCAGCUCGAUCGCAACACAUCACACUAUGAUUUUUCCGCACAUGAGAUCUUUGGGAUUACACUAUGAUAUUAUUUUAUGAUAACAUGUUUUGAUUACUGACACUUUGGUCUUCACAUGUGAUGUUAUUAUGAAUGUUUUCACACUGUUGGUUUUACAAUAACUUAAUUAAAAACAAAAAUUUUGGUCUUGAAUUUUGAGAUGUUCCAAGUUGGUAUCACAGCCUUGGUUUGAGGGAUUCAGACACACUAUCGGGUGUGUCUGGACUCCAUCUGAGGACUUGGUAUGAAAAUUUUCAAAAGAAAAUAGUUUUCAUCAAAAGAAUUUGAAAAAGAAGUUGAAAAAUGAAAAGAACUUUGAAAAGAACAAUGUGUGUGAUGCGUGCAAUCAGUCGAGAUCAAGUAACUUUUCCCCAAAAUACCCAUACAUGUUAUGUGUGUCAUGUUAUGAUAUGAAUUGAGAAUAUGUGAACUGCAAGCUAUAUUAGGGCUAAGGAUCUAGGAAGGAUGCCUUAUACACCUAUUAUAUGUGCUUGUAGACCUGCAUGCUAGUACUGAUCAGUCAGUGAUAGGAUGACAUAUUUAGGUUAUAGAUGAUUGUAUGAGCCUUUGAAUUGUACGUACAUAUUCCUGAUUUGAGGAUAUAAUGGUUUGAUUGGAGUAUGAUGGUUAGAUUUUCCAUUGUCUAAUUGUUGUUUGCGUUGUGCUUUGUGGGAGUCUUAGUGAUGUAAAUUAGCUACUAAGAGAAUAUGCUAAGCCACAUGGGACAUAGGCCGGAUAAUCUCAGAGUGAUGGACUUGACCCUACUACGCAGUCUUGUCUGAGCCAACCGUUAUAGGGAUGGGUCUUUUACUCAAAGGAUUAUCUGAUCUCUAUUGCAUGUGGCUAUAUUCAUGAGGUAGCUAGUUGACAUUUAUGGGAAUCUUUAAGCAGCUGAGGCCUUGGUGGGUUCGGGAACCUAGGAAAUCCUAGGAAAUGAUUUAGUGAACUUGGUUGCGUUGUUAGCAAGCAUUCGGGGUAUCAGUUUGAGAAGGUGACUUGGAGGAUUCAGGAUGAUUCUUGAGGAAAGUAUGGAUAGGUGUGGAAGGUAGUAUUGAGCCCGUACUACUAAAAGCACAGGAUUCAUACUCGAAUCCGGGAGAGUAGAAUCCAGGAAGCCUUUGGGAUAAGGAUUCUUGGGUAUAUGCGGAUCUCUUGAAUGUCAGUUCGGUAUUGGGUAGAGCACUCAAGAAUGGGAUUCAUAUUCUGGUUACGACUCAGGAGCAGGAGUUGGACCAAUCGAUGUGUGAUCGUAGGAGUUCAUCUCGUCGAAUAUUACUUGUAGAUUUUUGGGAAUGGACCUCGGUGGUCUUUCGUUCAUCCAAGGAAGGUAUUUUGGAGCCCUCGUUAGUCAUCUCGGGGCCUUUCGGACCAUAUUUGUCGCAGGGAAGUUAGGGGUUCAUCUGAAACCCAGAGUCUGUGGAUCCUUAGAUUCCUUCAGGAAGGAGGAUCCUAUUGUUAGUCCUUGUCAUCGGGAUUAGAAGGGAGUUUUGCACCAUGAUCUCAGAAGGGUCGAAGUAUCUCUAGAGAAGGUGAUAAGGAUUCCUCUAGAUGUUGCGGGUAUGUCAUAUUCUACUGUUGCUAGGUGGAUGUCGGGAAUCUAUAUCCCUUUGGAAUUAUGAGUAAGUUUGGAUAAGUCAGAUCUUGGUUCAGUUCUUUGCUAUUUUCUGGGUUAUCAAGGAUUGUUAUAUGCCAUUCCGCAUGUCGAAAAGUCCUUGAAGAACCUACAGAGGGACGUAUCUUGUGGAGUGGGUUCCAUGAGUACUGUUAUCAUCCCUGAUCUUUAUCGGGAUCUGAGAUAGAGUAUUAUUUGGAGGAUAUUUGGGUGGGGUUAGAGCGAUAGUUCCCCAGUGAAGUCAUAGUUCAAUUGUCCCAUCAUUGUUCAGGUAUGGUCGACGAUUGUCUGUGGAAGAACUUCGGAGUUCAAGGCACUACUGUUGCUAGGAUAGGACUGGUAGUAUGAAAAUGGUAGUGUCAGUCACGGGUGUUAGAUGCAUGGAUGUUUUGGUCAUUGGAUGUUCGAGCGAAUUACAUUUUUCGCAUGGGUUGUGUUCGGUUAGAGCUCAGUGGUGCCGCGAGAGUGGAAGUGAGAAUGAGGUUUCGUCAGCCAGGGUGAAGAUUAAGGUCUCUAGUUGUCAGCAUGCUAGGCGGAGUGAGGCGUCAGUGUGGUCUAGAUUUCAAGAGUACUCUUCAGGAUUUUAGAGGAUGGGCAAUCUUAGGGUUUAACCGAUGAUUGAUCGCUAGAAUUGGCAAGCAUAGGUUUUCAUCAAUGGGAUAUUAGAAAGCGAGAAGGAUUGGGAAUCCUUCAAUUCUCACAUGCCGUGAAGACUUAGUCGAAUCUAAGUGGGGGUGAAUUGAUCAAGUACUCAAGAACAAAAAUAGGUGUGAAACUAGGAUGAGUUUCGCAUCCCCUUUAGGAAGAAAGGUGGUCAAGUGUCCGUCUAGGUUGAGUAUUGGAUGAGUCGGGAGUUCAGAAAAUGUUUAAACUUUUGGUUCACACUUUUUUCCUUGGAAUUGGAUAACAGGUUUAGGGAACCGGGUUAAAGCUUCAGUUAGGACUCAAGUUCAGUUGGGUGUUAGGUUGAGUCCAUGUUCAACCCGGUAUGGACAAUGUUGUAAGACUACAGGGGUAGCGUAGCAUUCACUAACAGUCAGAUAGCAUGGAAAGUGUUGUAAGACUACGGGGGUAGCCUUAGUAUUCACUAAUAGUCAGAUAGUAUGGAAAAUGUUGUAAGACUGCGGGGGUAGUCGUAGCAUUCACUAACAGUCAGAUAGUAUGGAAAGUGUUGUAAGACUGUUGGGGUAGUCGUAGCAUUAACUAACUGUCAGAUAGUGUUAGAAUGAUGUAAGUCUGCGGGUAUAGUCGUAGCAUUCAUGAGGUUGGCAGAUAGUGAUAGAGUGUUGUAAGUCUACGGGUGUAGCCGUAGCAUUCACGAGAUUGGUAGAUAGCUUAGGUGCGUUGUUAGGAUGCGGAAGGAACAGGAGUACCCACCAGUUCGGUGUAGCGGUGAGGAUAUGGAAAUCCACCGGAUUGGAUUUUGGAAUUACCUAGAUGGAUUAGAUCUGGUUAAUCCAGUGAUAAGACUAUAGGAGUGCCACUAUAGUUAUUGGAUCAGGGAAGCAAUGUAUCAUAUAAGACUGCUUGUGAUAUAAGGCUACCAUUGGUCAGGUAGCAAUCACUUUUAGCUUUCGAUUGGUGACGUCAGGGCUCGAAGUAUGGACCCGAUGAGUUAGAUCAGAAGGUCGUUAGAGCCACAGUGGUAAGAUAACUAGUGGUAACUACUGACAGAAGAGGAUUUUGUUUGAAAGUCGUGUGGAGACGACUGUUUGGGAGUCCUUUUAGCUCAGCAACCGGGUCGGGACCUGGUAUUUCAGAUGAUUUGCGAACGAAUUGAGACCAGGGAGGUCUCGGUAGAGUUUGUAAAGCAUCCAUGUGGCAGCAUGCUAUUUUAGGUAAUUCAUUGUUUUAGGCAUUUUCAGUGUUUUGGGUAGUAUUAGUAUUUGUGUUUUGGGUUGCAAGUAUUGAUAGAGUAACAGAUUGCUUGGGUUAUGUUAAGUCACUCACAGUGGGAUUAAAUAAUCUUAGAGUGGUCGAUUUGAUCCUGUUUCAUAGCUCUCGUCUGAGUCUAACCAAUGCCGGGAUGGAUCUUCUGCUCGAAGGAUUAUUUGAGCUUUCUGUCAAGAAUAAGUGUUCUAUAGUUGUCUAUGGUCUGUGAUUUUGUUUCUAAUGGUAGCAUUGAGAUAAUCAAGUCAGAAAGCGUGCAUUGGGUCAGUCACUCGAGCAAGAUUAAUCUUGGUAAAGCUCAGUAGGGGUGGUCUACCAGGGAGUCAGUCCAUCUCGAGACUACAGGUUUCAGACUGAGUAGAUGCGAUCAUGUUGCAAGGGGUUCACUUAUUUUCGGAUCAUGUUGCAAGGGGUUCACUUAUUGCCUUGGAAAGGCUAGGUUAUGCUCGGGAUUGUGGCCACAUCGUUCAAGUUGUCUGGUGUGUAAGGGAUGGAAAGGAAUGAUUUCGAGGACGAAAUAUAAUUUAAGUGAUGGAAAGUUGUAACACCCUAGUUAUUAAAUAAAUAAAUAGGCAAAUUAAUAUAAAUAGUAGCCCUAAAAUCCAUAGUAUUUAGUGGGGUGUUGAUUUUAGGAAGCCAAAAGUCAUAAGUUGGAUUAUUCUGGGGUGAAAAUGUAAAUUCGAGAUUUAUUUUGUAAAGAUUUUAGAAGAUAGGGGAUAUUUGGAAAGUAUUUGACUUAAUUUGUAAAGGAUUUCAGGUGGCAGGGUUAAAAAGGUAAAAUAUGGACUCACUUUGAAAGAAAAAGGGGAAGGGAGGGAUCAAAGAUGGUAUUAUGGAAAUUAUUUAAGGGGACCAGGUAUAUAACCCGUCACCCAUUCUGGAACCCUAACCCUAAGGUGGAGCUACAGCUGCCACUCCCACUUACUCGGCCUCCGUUGUGGUCGCCAAUCACCAAAGCCGCCCUCGAGCAUCGUCCUUUCCGGCGAGAACAGGUCGACGACAUGGAUGAUGGGUGCGUCUGCCACUUACCUUCUCUUCUUCUUCUUCUUUUUCCUUCUGCCGCCAUCCACAAACGCCUCUCGACGGUCAACGGUGCUACUCCGAGCACCUUUCGCCAAUUGUUAACGUGUCGUCGCCGUUGUAUGGCUCGUUUUUGUUGCUCAGGUCAGCGUUAGUAUCUUGAUGGGCUAUCGGUUCGUGUGUACUUCUACUUGGGUAUGUUGACAUGUUGCGGGGCAGAAGACCAAAAGAAAGCAUCGCCACCACCGGAAGGUGGUUGCUGUCAACGCAAUACGCUGUUGUUUCCGCUAGCAAUGUUGCUACUGUCGCCAAACGCCACCAGGUGGGUGGUUGGGGUGCAUUUUGCAAAUUAGGAGCAUGUUUUUGUGUUGUGUCUGGAUUCGUUUGGCCAGAAAAUCGAGAACUGUCAUCACCACCACCGUGAAGUCGUGGCUGCCGCCAUGUACCACCGCCGGCCACCACUAGGGUGGAUGUGUGUGUGUUUAUGUUAGUGAGUGUGUGUGUGUGUGUGUUAUUGGGAUUUGUGUUGUAAAUUGUAAUCAUGUCGGAAUAAUGAAAAGAAAACUCAUAACCACCACCAUGAGGUGGUGGUUGCCGCCACUAGCCAUUGUGUUGGGUGACGGUGUGGUUAGUUUGUGUUUGGAUUGCUUUUGGAGUGCUUGGACACGAUUGGACAAGAACCAUAACCACCGCCGUGAUAUGGUAGCCGUUGUCGUGAGCCGUCGUUGACAACCACUACCCAAGGUAGUAGUGGGUGGUGCCCGACUUAGGAAAACUCUACUUGUCCUAAUGAAACCCUAAUAGGCCUAAGGACUUAGCUUUUGGGCCUAAUUGGGUUGUGAUGGUUGGGAAACCCUAAUUAGGGUUUAGAAAACCCUAAUUUUCGAUAUAUAGACUUUGGACUUAUCGGGAGCGACAUUUGGGCCAUUGGAAUGGAAUUAUCAAUUACACCCCAUCACACCAUAUGAUUUAUCUAGUAGAGUAAUGGACUUAAUUGAUUAAGUCCUUAAUGGGUGAAGUGAGAAACACUUAACCCUAAUCGUCAUUUUAUGUGAAAACCCUAAUUUCACUUGGGCCUUAAGCUGGGCCUUUCUUUUGGGCUUUGGUGAUUGGGCCAAUAAUGGGCCAUUCAAGAACAAUCAUAUAGACUAGAAUAAUUGGAUGGGAUUUCAGGUAAGUCCCAUAUGAAGGGUUGGGCCCAAUUUGGAAAAUUAGGCCAUAGAUGGGCCAUAAUUUGGGCCUUUGAUGAUUAUGAGAUAUUGGGCCAUUUGAAUGCUAAAUUUCUGGACUAGAAUGAAUGGUUGGGCCUUAGAGUAAGGCCAAGUAAAGGUUGGGCCUAAUUUGGAAAAUUGGGCCAUAUGUUGGGCUUUGACUCAUAGUUGACUUUUGGGCCUUUGGAUUGCGCUUUUGGCUUGAGUCAAGCUAAUUUGGGGGUGAAGUAGCCUUUUACCCCAAGCAUGGACUUAUGGGUAUAUGUUAGAACCCAAUUACUGAUUGGGUGUUAUUUUGAUGUUUGACAGUUCAAGAACCUGUCGUCUAGCAGCUAGAGUUUUGUUUGCAGGACUUCAACAAUGUGAGGUGAUUUACCUUCCAGUAGAAGUGGGUCGAAGGCACCAAUGUCGGCCCACUCGUUGUUGAUUAUAGUUGAUAUGAUUGUCUUUGUGAUAAUUGUUUGGUAUGCCACUAUUUGUUAUGUGUUAUGUGAUGGGUUUUGAGUAUUCUAACACUCCUAANGAUCACUUAAUUAAUCCUAGAUUAAUUCUUGAUCAAUACUAAUUAAAUAAUCUUAUUAUUCUUAUUAUUAAUAUACUAGAACUUAUAAUAUAUUAAUAACCAUAAGUGUCUUAUUUCUCUCAUUAUAGUCUAUCCAAGUGCAUGAUGGUAUGCAACCCAAAUGGACCAUGCCGGGUCGGGUCAAGUCUUACCAAUUAUAGUUAUGGACUUAGACAUUAAUCCAACAGUCUCCCACUUGGAUAAGUCUAAAACUAUUAUUGCGUAUGACUUCAGGAACCAACUGGCAAUCGUAGCUCUCAAAAGCUUCUGUCGAACUCUGACCUUGUCGAUGAACUCUGACCUUUGUCAAUGACUUGUCCAUUAGAUAAGGGAUCACAUAUUCCUCCAUUCUAGAUAUCAUAUGGACUGAGACAUGGAUUAUAAUCAUUCUCUCUAUCCAUUUGUUGUUUUUCGAUUUCCGAUUUAUGACGACUGACUAAUUGAACAAAUCAAAUCAGUCCUGGCCCGGCCGAGCACUUCCAUUUGUCAUCAUCAAAUCAUCGAGGGGCCCACAGAUAUCGCUUUUAUCCCGAAGGUAAAAGGAAUGGAUAAACUUCGACUCAUAUGGCUUGUUCUACUACUUGUUGAAUCAUACACAAAGGCACGUUUUAUAGCACCGAGUUACCAAAUGCGUUUUCGUGCAAUCAAUGUACUAUCAACUCAUAGUAACAACUCAUAUCUCUAGGUUUGAAGAAUAUAAGAUAUUAUCGUCUCAUGAUCACUCGUGAUAAAAUCCAUGAAGUGAUUCCAAUGAGCGCGGGUUGAAUCCAAUACUCAGAACUUAUGAGCACUCAUGAGUGUUGUAGCCCUUUGUCCAACACCUUAGACCUCUACAAGCCAACCCAUGACAGUCUUAAUUCAUAUCUACUUCCAACAUAUGACCGACUGUGGAUGGUUUGAAUAACUUAGUCAUUCCGGAAGAAUAACCCAGUUUAUUCGGGAAGUCAAAACAUGCAAAAUGAAACACAAUAAUAAUUGAAUCCAAUAUGGUAUCAACCCUUUGAACAUAAAUAAAACACCUUUUAUUUAUCACCAUAUGAUUACACAUUAUUCAUUGUAUACUGUUUCAGCUAUCAACUUUAUUCUUGAAUUUAAAACAAUAGUUGUCCCAUGCUCCAAGCAUGUACACUAUGUUUUCUUAAACACUAGUCAUGCCACACACCAAGUAUGCAUACUAUGUUUGUCUAUGAUCUUUACUUUGUGAACUAGAUCAAUUGAACAUAACUUCAAUGAUUCUCUUUUCACACUCCCAAAUCCUUACUGCAAAUGCAAGAAUUCCAAAUUCAUGCCAUUUACUGAAAUCUGUUAGAUUCUAAACUUAUAUGCAUUGAUCCUCUUGUAAUGAUUAUGCACAAAGUCACAAAGACUUGGCAACAAUCAUUACAGAGUAUUCCAAAGGAGAUCAACUCCUUGGAAAUAUCCUUCUUGCAUUAAGUUUCCUUAAUCUUACACAGAUUGAAAAUUCUAACUUUGAAACAUUUCCAGAUUCCAUUUUGACUAUCACUUCUGAACAAGAGUUGCCUCCUUACAGAUUAUGUCAAUAUGGUCCUUCCAGAAUUAUCACUAUACUUCCAACUGUCCUUGAGCAACCAAUCUUUGGUAAACCUUAGAUUGUCCUCGACAAUUGUUUAAUCCUUUUAGUCAUAUCCAGUUCUAAACCUUUUCCCUUCUUAAUGCCCCAGGCAUUUGGAAAAUUUUAGAACGGAUGAAUAUAGCACAUGUAAUCGAUCCUAUAUCCGAAGCAUAUGGGACACGAUUCAUGAUGUCUCACAUAAAGACUAAACCAGUCUUUUGCUAUAAUAUUUCCAUUUCAAUUUGCCAAGUUCUCAUAAUUCAGAUUAUGAAAAGGGAUGCCGUAAUCAUAAUCGAAUUUUAGAACGCAAAUAAUGGACCCAUAUACAGAAUUUCCUUAUGUUGAGCCAUUCCAACAUGAAAUUCAUAUAUAUCCUUGACUAAAUGAUUAAAACCUCACGAUCUAAGCUUAUAGAUUUGAGAUGAAGCAUAAUUUCCUCUCCCUUAAUUAUAGCAAAACAACUUUUUCCCAAUUGAAACUUUUGUUUUCUAUAAUUAACAUUGCUAACUUGCAAUACUUAUCAUAAUUAUCAUGCUCCCACUAACAUGAUGAUUAUUAGCAUAACACUUAUGCUCCCACUAGCUUUGACAUGUACUCAGAAAUCAGCUGGACUUCUAGAAAUCAAUACUUUAUUGACUUUCUUACCAAAGUUCAGAUUUCUGAUACUAGAUUGCUUUGAUAAAACUUUAUCAUAAUCAUACACCUUAUCUUAGAUAGCUCACAUGUGUGUCUAAACAAUUUUAAGAACUAUGAAAAGGGAUGUCGUAAUCAUAGUCUUGAUUGUUUAGACCUUUUCCACUUCUCACAAGUCCGUGUUAGUGUGCCGGUAAACCACACAUGCUCCACUAACGACUUUGAGAAUGCAAAUAUCACAAUUGCUAUCUAGCUAAAAUCUACUUAGUGAAAGUGUUUCCUCACCAUCAUUUUCAUGAAUCGGAGAGAAACCUUAUGACACUUAGAUUUAAUGGUGUAUGUGUUCUUAUCCAUGUGAAUUGUCAAAACCAUAGUCACAAGACAAGGAUAAUGACAAAUCCAAACUCAUAUGGACUGAACUCAAUCUUAAUUUCUUGCCACAUGGCAGUUCAAGGGCCUGCCAUUGUUUCCAAGUUGUUGUGCAACCAAUUGAGAACUCUAAGAACUCAUAUGCAAAGCCAACUUUAAUUGGAAUGGGCACAGAAUAUGUCAACACGAUAGGUUAUGAACCUCAAGUUGUGUGCUAGUGAAGAACUUCAAUAUUUAUUCUUGAUUAGUUCUUAAGAUUUUCAAGACCUUUAAGACUCCCACUGUCCUCUUGACACAUACGACUUUCUUGUCAGAUAUUCAAGAGAUAGUGUGGAUUCUAAUCAAGACAAACACUUCACACAAUUGGCCUAAGUUGGUCUUUGUUUUAUCCAAAACAUCACAACUUACCAAUUUCAAAUGUACAAGAGUAGAAAACUUUUACUCUUACAUUUGACAAGUGUUUUAAACCUUCUUUAAGACAUGUCACUCAAGUUACAUUCUUAGAGUAUAACUCUAAGAAUUAUUUUUGGAAUGAAGUAUGAAUCAUCUUCUUGAUUUAAGCACUUCAACAAUUCAAGAUUCCUCUUCCUUAGAGAACUAAUUGUGAUAUGGUUUCUAAAUCAUUAAGAUGAUCACUAAAAUUGAUACUAAAGUACUCUCCCAUCUUUUCAGAUUUGAGACACUUUUAUCUUUCUGCCUAAUUUGACUCUUCUUAUUCGCUCUGCCAUACAUUGGAACCUUUUCCAAUGUCUCAGAGUUACACUUAAGCUUGUAAGUAUAAUCAUAUUUACUGAGCUUUAGUAAACUAUGACGAAUAGUCUUAUCAAUCUUUUGUGGUGGACUUAAUCAGUGCACAAGAAUGUGUACUCGAUCCCUUAGUCCUUUACUUGACUCACACAUCCAUGUGGCCGAGUAAUUAGUCUUAAUUUUCCAAAACUUGAAAGUUCUCAUUCAUCAUGCUAUACAACUUGCAUGAUUCCAAGUUCCGGUCUAAUUGAAACUUGGGUGAUGAGGAUCUUUCCUUAUUUGGUAAAUUUAGACAUUACCACAAAUGAAAGAAUCAAUUUCAUAUUUCCACUCUUGCUAUUAAUGGAAUCAUAUAAGAAACAAAUAUUUUUCCACAACUCGCAUUGUAAGGAUAUUUUUAAAAUAAAUAAAGUCAAAUUUAUCCUUUUAUUUUAAAAACUUUGCGGAAAAACUAUCCUUACAAUGCAAAAGAGCAUGAAAACUUUGUUGUUAUCUAUUCCUAAGCAAUAUAUCAUAACUCCUAAGAAGUAGCUCAAGAAUCCGAUCUUCAAACUAUGCGAUAGAAAUCCAUCUAUGCGAUCAGAUUCAACAUAUUCUUUCUUUAAGUUUCUUCACUUUUCUUUGAUUCUUAAAACAUCAACAUGUUACCUAGUCACAUCAUGUAUCAAGAAUCUCAGAAUAGAAACUUAGCAGGGUGAGAUAGUGGACUUUACCUGAAGUAAAGUCAAACUUAUUGACUUUAACAUCCUUAGGUAAACUUGGUAGCUUCGCAACCAAUGCCCCUUUCUUUGGCAAUAUAAACAUAUGGACCCUUUGGUGAUGGGACUAUCUCAGACUUAGCUUUUCUCUUUACCAUUUGGUCAACCGAGUUGACUAUGGCCGACCCCUUUUCAUUAGGAAGAGAGAGCUUUACCGGAUAUCCAUUGUCAUCAUUGUUAAUUUCCAUAAAGUUGUAGGAAGUUGAUCUUAGCAAAUAGAUAAGAUCAUUAAGGGUCCUGUCAUAGUCUGCUUCAUAGGAGUCCCAAAGGAGCUCACUAUGUGACUUAGAGAAUGAUUGAACCACCAACUUUCUCAAGACUUUGACACCCAGCUCUCCCGGCUUGUCAAUAUGUGACUACAUCUCCAAGAUGUGACCACACAUAGACCUUUAUUUUCCAAUAGGGCUUGAGUGACCUUAAACUUUUCAAGAACUUGUGGGUUAGGGAGAAUAAUUGGAGGNNNNNNNNNNNNNNNNNNNNNNNNNNNNNNNNNNNNNNNNNNNNNNNNNNNNNNNNNNNNNNNNNNNNNNNNNNNNNNNNNNNNNNNNNNNNNNNNNNNNNNNNNNNNNNNNNNNNNNNNNNNNNNNNNNNNNNNNNNNNNNNNNNNNNNNNNNNNNNNNNNNNNNNNNNNNNNNNNNNNNNNNNNNNNNNNNNNNNNNNNNNNNNNNNNNNNNNNNNNNNNNNNNNNNNNNNNNNNNNNNNNNNNNNNNNNNNNNNNNNNNNNNNNNNNNNNNNNNNNNNNNNNNNNNNNNNNNNNNNNNNNNNNNNNNNNNNNNNNNNNNNNNNNNNNNNNNNNNNNNNNNNNNNNNNNNNNNNNNNNNNNNNNNNNNNNNNNNNNNNNNNNNNNNNNNNNNNNNNNNNNNNNNNNNNNNNNNNNNNNNNNNNNNNNNNNNNNNNNNNNNNNNNNNNNNNNNNNNNNNNNNNNNNNNNNNNNNNNNNNNNNNNNNNNNNNNNNNNNNNNNNNNNNNNNNNNNNNNNNNNNNNNNNNNNNNNNNNNNNNNNNNNNNNNNNNNNNNNNNNNNNNNNNNNNNNNNNNNNNNNNNNNNNNNNNNNNNNNNNNNNNNNNNNNNNNNNNNNNNNNNNNNNNNNNNNNNNNNNNNNNNNNNNNNNNNNNNNNNNNNNNNNNNNNNNNNNNNNNNNNNNNNNNNNNNNNNNNNNNNNNNNNNNNNNNNNNNNNNNNNNNNNNNNNNNNNNNNNNNNNNNNNNNNNNNNNNNNNNNNNNNNNNNNNNNNNNNNNNNNNNNNNNNNNNNNNNNNNNNNNNNNNNNNNNNNNNNNNNNNNNNNNNNNNNNNNNNNNNNNNNNNNNNNNNNNNNNNNNNNNNNNNAUAUAUAUAUAUAUAUAUAUUAUUAUUAACUUAUAAUAUUAUAAAGUAUAAGGGUUGAAUUUUAACUUUUAAAAUUCUAAGGGCUAACUUGGAAUUAAAGUACUCAGAAGUGAAAACUAUUCAAAUUCCAAAACUUGAGGGCAAGUUUUGAAACUAUUCAAAACUAAUUAAUUCCAUAACUUAUGUGUUUAAAGUAGUUUUAAUCACAACUAGAAAAAUAGCCUUUUACGACACUCAAUGCACGUCGUAAAAGGCUCGGACGACGCGUAAAUGCGCAUCAAGGAAGGCCGUGUCAUAAAGAGAGACGACGCACUUUUGUGUGUCGUCUAUACAUGACGCGCAUUUACGACGCUCAUUUUCGACACGCUGUUACGACAUGCGUUUACGACACGCAAUGCGUAUCAAGGAAGGCCAUGUCAUAAUGGAAGACGACGCGCAUUCGCGUGUCGUAACCUUACGACGCGCGUGUUAAUGACACGCAAUGCGUAUCAAGAAAGCCCCUGUCAAGAAAGGUCAUGUCAUAAAUGAAGAUGACACACAUUUUUGCGUAUCAUAAUUUUAAAUGUUUAAAAAAAUAUAUUUUUUAUAGAUUUACUAUUUUUCAAAUUAAAUUUGCAUUUAAUGCCUCAUAAUAGAAAAUAAAAUAUCAUAUACAAAAAAUAUAAUCCAUUUCAUAAAAUUUAAUGUCAUACAAAAUAUCAUAUACAAAAAAUAGAAUUCAUUGCAUAAUAUUUUAUUACACUAGUCAAAUGUGUUAUCUAUGGAACUCCAGUAUAACAAAUUUUCUACAAUGUAACAAUAAAUAAACCUAUUCAAUUAGUGAAAUAAUGGAUCUGUGUUAAAGGAGAUUCACUUUAGCAAUAUUAAUAUUAAACAAAAAUAAUACAUUGCUAACAUGGGUUAUACAUUCCUAUAAAACUAACAUGUGACCUUGUUCUAGAUCGAGGUCGAAUUGGAUCGAUGGCGACGAUUCAAUUUUAGAUAUACAACAUGAUUACUAACCUAAGACCUUAUGCAACAAGUGCAUCCCAUGCCCUAUUUCCAGCAACCACCACAUGUUUUAGUGUCUCAAGGGCUAGUAUAUACAACAUGAUUACUUUCUCCUUGCCAUCCUAUAGCUUUCAUUAACAAUGGAACCAUCUGUAAUUUAUUUAAAAAAAACAAUGUCAAAACUGGAAACUAAGUAUGCCCUUGCUCCAAGUGUCUUUGUGCAUUUCUAUUUCAAAAAAAAAUGUGUUUGUGUGCAUUUAAUAACCCAAUAGUAAAUAAAAAGAUAAAAAAUAGAUAUAAAUAUGAAUAUAUAGUUAUGUAGUUAUAUACCUCGUAUCCUGGAACCAGAAAUGCAAACACUACAUUCACUAGGAAAAUGCCAAACAGAAAAAAUGAUAAGAUAAAUCUUCUUUUAACUUGAGGUUUAUAAGGAAUUUUAUAACUUUGUAAUACAUAUACAAGCUACAUACAAUAACUUAUGGUUUCUGUGCAAAGUAUUCUAGAAAUGAUGUUGAAUAAGAAAUGUCUAUUUAUUUCAAAACUGAUAAUGAAAUGACAUAGUAAAUGAAAAAAUAUAAAAAGAAAUUAAAUUUACUAAAAAUAAAACCUAACAUACCUCCACCCCUAAGCGCCGGAUGAAGAAAGAAACCCAUUGUUUCAACUGAAGCAUCAAAUUAAGAAAUCUUAGAAACGUUGACUUACUAGUCCAAUGCAUUGACCAACCCAUGGACAGUGAUGGUCAAAUAUUUGAAAACAAUUGUUGCAGACAGAGCAAUAUGACGCUAUUGGAGGAUGAUAGAGCAUACUAGUAUCAUAGUAUUUGGCAUUAACUGUGUGACCAUUCACAAGUUACAUUGUAGUUCAAAUUACUGCGAUUUUACUAUGAAAGGCAACAAAAGAAACAUGACAUCAGAUGUUGAUAUGGAAACAUAUCCUGCAAAUUUAGCAAAUACAAAAAUUAAAAACCCCCUGAAAAUAAAACUGCACAAAGUUGCUCAACGCCCAGACUAACCUUGAACCCAUCCACUGACACAUUGGCUCAAUCCGGAAAGACCUGAUACCAAGAACCACCUGCCCAAUACUUAUUAUGGUCAGACAAAUGAUUAUAAAUAUGAAUUUAGUGAUUAUUUAGAAUUUGAAAAAGGAAAUAAAAAUGCAAAACCCUUGUGCUUACUGAAUUCAAUAGCAAACCAAAAGCACCUUCUCUAACACCUUCAUCAUAAGCUUGAACUUUGUUAGCAUCUCCUUUUGGGUCCCCAUGAUAAACCUCUCUCCCCAUCCAAUCCGUAUCAAAAAGAAAAAAGGGAACCAUCACAACUGCACAUGUGAUGUGAAUAUAUAAAAAAAGUAAGCAAAAGCAAAAUGACCAUUUUACCCUUAGUUUCAUUUUAAAAACUUACCCAUGUAAGAGCCAUGACAAUAAGCACUGAAUGCAUCCCUACUGGUAAAUGGCGUAAGCUGGUCAACAAGUUGACCAAAACUGCCCCUAGAUUAUCAUUAAAAGUUUCAACUUGAUCUUCUUCUUCAACCUCAGAUGAUUUACUAGAAUUUGUCAGGGGUUUUGAGUCUGAAUUUUCAGACCCAGUCUGCUGAUGAUUGUUAAGAAGAGGAGCAAAAUCUAAUAAUUUUUAUGUUGUUUUGGCGCUAAAGGGAUCUCUUUUGCAAAGUAGAGUGUUACCAGUGUGCAAAAUGUAUAAAAAAAUCUGCAACAUGCCAACAUGUUUUGUAUUAUUUAAUAUUCUAAUUUUCCUUUUGUCAGUUAGAAACAUCAGAAGGCUUUUUGGUUGUCAAUUUAUCAAUUUUAAGAUAUAGUUAUAUUUAGCUAUUAAAAACUCACCACUGCAACUAAAAAAGAUGCCUUCAGAUUUCCACAUGCCUCACACCAAGCUAUACUUUUCAAGAAAGGAAACCACCUGCCAAGGAGAAUGAUCAAAUUAAUUAGAAAAAAAAUGAAAAAAAAGUCAAAUAAAACCAUAUAAUAUAAUAAGAAGACUUCCAAUAGAUAGUUUACCUGUGCCAAUUUCCACUAGAACCAGAUAGAAACCCUAAGAUGUUUCCAAUCGCCAUCCAUGAACAAAAUAUAACAUUUGCUGAGUUCCUAUGAUCAGGGCCUAUCAAUAAAUGAAUAAAUAUUAUUAUUAGCAUUUAUAGAGACAUAACACAAACAUCAUAAGGUGAAACUAUUAACAGAUUUGGGUUUAGGGUUUUGAUCUAAAUUAAGAUUGAGGAAUUUAGAAAACUUGGUACAUACCUGCUAAAUCAGCCAGGAGAGCUCGAGCGGGGCCCUGAAAUUAUUAAACUUGUUACUUGAAUUUAAAAUAAUGGUUUAAAACACAAGUUUUUUUUUAAAAAAAAAAGGAAAUUUUUUUAUAAAUUCUUACCUGAACAGUGUUAUUAGCAAGAUCCAGCAUCCAGAAACCUAUGAUGAAAAUAAAAGUUGUCCUUGUUCGUGUAUCUUUAUACACACAGAAUUAUGGAAUUAUGUUAUAUACAAUCAAUUACUAUGAAAUAUAAUGAGAGAUAUAAACUAAAAAGAAGAAACUGGAAACCUGCAAUGUUCCUUUGUAUCUCCAAUCAAGUAUCCAAUGUCUGCAAAAAAACCCAAUAGUUAUAACCUAAAGUGCAAAAUGUAGUUCAGUGGAUACAAAAUAUAGUAAAAUAAAUUGAAUGUGUAGUAAUCCUUUUCAUUGAGGCUUUUGGAUAGAUUGAAACAUAGUUUAGUGUUGUGUUUUCCUUCAGCCUAUCGCACAUAGACAUUUUGUCAAAUUGCUAUCAUGAGUAAAAACAAGUACAUUUCUCAUAUCAGUAAAAGAAAAAGAAAAAGGAAAAGUGCCUCUCUUUCAAAUGGAGGAUAUCUCCCAAGUCCUGGUGUAGCAUUAGCUGAAGCUGAAACUAUGUCCGCAAGUACACGAUGAACCUGUACUCAUUACAAAUGAUUACAUAAAUGAAAUUAAAAGAAUAAUAAUAUUAAUAAGAGAAAAGGGGAAUUAAUUAAAAAUGAAAAAAACAAAAUAAUGUGUAGUUUUUUUACCUCGUCAACACAGAGACAUGAGGGCUCUUAAUCUGAUACAUAGCAGAAAUCACAGGGACCAUUUUGUAAUAUAUUCUUAAUCUGAUACAUAGCAACACAAAUUACAUAAACCAAGUAAUAGCAAAAUAAUCGAUCACAGGCAUACCCUUGGUCCUUGACCCAACAGAAGUGCCUGAACAGCAGCAAGAACUUUGGGAUCGAAAGAUGCUUGAUCGAUUUUACUGAUCACACCAAUGGUUCUUGUUGCUACAUUAAAAAAAUUAUAUUUUAAUAAUUCAUGAAGCCUUGACUGGAUUGCAAUUUGGGGAAACAAAGAUUAGUUGUCCCAGAUUAUUUACCUUUCCUUGAACACUACUUGGAACAACUUAUCACCAUGACAAGCUAAAUCAACUAGAAACUUUCCCUGUUUACAUUUUACAACAAUACCUGUUAAUAAAUGAAACAAUUAUACUAGAUUUCUUAAAAAAAAUGCAUAAAAUUAGAAUAAAAUAAUGAAAUAGAUGAAGAGAAGUUAAAAAAUCACGCAUAUUAUAGAACAGAUCCAUAUCUAAUGCCUGAAGCAUUCCAAUUUAAUCAACUAGGGUAAAUAUCCAGCAAUGUGAUUACAUUGCAGAAAUUUCAUGAAGAUUAUUUAUAUAGCUUUGUUGUUUUGUAUAAGGAAAUACAAUUACCUUCCCAACUAGUAUCUCAUUAGCAUGCUGAACCCCAUAUACAUUUGCAGUAUCAAAGAAUGUAACUCCUCUAUUAAAAGCUUCCUUGAGCACUUUGUUGCCUUCUUCCUCAAGGAGAGGAUUGUUACAGAUACUUGUAAGCCCCAUGCAGCCAUACCCUAAUAUUGAGACCUGUAGAAAAGGAAAAUGAGGUUGAAUGUAUAACAGAUCCAUAUCUAAUUUGCAAUUUAUAAAAAUCUUUUCUAUCCCUAAUCAUACAACUUUUUGUCCCAGAAUUCAACUACUUAAUGCAUCAAACCCCCAAAUUGGAAGUAGAAUAUAAACCUAGGUAGAAUUAAAGAGAUGAUUUAGGGAGAAAGGUUUUAACAGAAAAGGUAAUUGUAUCACAUACAUACACAUAUGAAUCUAAUUACUCCAUAGAAGGCUAAAUAAUUACCGUAUAUUCUUUCAGAGACAUCGACAAGUCCGUAGAGCGACUUCUUAUAAAACAAUUUCUGUAACAACGUCAUUCAAAUUGACCGAAUUUGGAAAUCCUCAAAACAAUUUUAAAAAUCCCCCGACAGGCCGACCUAGGUAAAACAGAUAUACAUGCACGAUGUUUUGGUGAGGAUGAAGUCUGGAAUAAAGUCGUCAUCCUUGGGAGGCGCUGGAGUGAAGUCCGAUGAUCGAUUGCGUGAGAACCGGUGGUGGUAGAAGGAGAAUUUAUGCGUUGGUUUGAAGGAGAACCAAGGUUCGACAUACGAACUACAAAGAAGGAAGCGGGGAAGAGGAUAUACAUGAGAACGACACACAACAACUCGGUCAGCAGGUAUUUUUCCUUAGACCGAAUCGACACAGAAAUAGGGACUGGAUCCUUGAUUUGGAUCGAGUCCAAAGGUGUAGAAAGGAAAACAAACAAGCUGACUUUGGAUUGAGGACCGGGUCCUAACUUCGGACCCAGUUAGAAAGAAAAUUGAACGGACCCUUAGAAGAAAUGAGGAUGAAGAAGAAGAAAACCUGGUAGUUCAUGGUAUGUUUAAGCAAAAUUUUGAAAUGUUGUUGCAGUUUCUGUAGGAUGUGAUUGCGUGGCAUAUGAUGUUGAUGGACAUCAUUAAGGAUCUGCCAAUGUUGGAAGAGGUAUCCAUUACUAAUUCAAGGAGAAGAGGGAGGCUUUCUUUGAGUGGGGAAAAGCUCAUUAAGGUGAAGGAAUGGGUAAACUCAGCCAAGAUGUAAGCCUGAAGUGAGAUCGUCAAUUGAUGCAGAGGCCUAGGAGAACCGAUCGAGAAUUGGAGAGCUUUUUCAAUUUUCUUGAAAAAGCCCUAGGUAGAAUGGUUCAUGAAAAAGAACUAGGAAUGAGUGAAUGAAGGGAGAUACAGAGGAGAGACUGAAGAAGCGGGCACUUCAAAAUUUUAGAAUUCUAGAGGAUUUCAUUUUUUCCUUUUAAAAACGCGCGUUUGAUUAAAAAAAUAUAAAGCGACAUUUCUAGAGGACACACAUUUAAAACAAGUGCCCUCCGUGUUUGUAUUUUUUUUUUGUUGGAUAUUAAUUUUAAGGCGCGCAAACAUGCGUGUCCUUCAUUCUUCAAAUUUUGGAAGGCUGACAUUAUUUUUAAGGGUACACAAAAAUGUGUAUCUUAAAUCAGCGAGUGUCAUUGUUUGCGCGUCAUUAAAGGGUAUUUUUCUUGUAGUGAAUUAAAAAAAGUCUUCAAGUUCCAUAACUUGAGGACAAGUUAUGGAAGACUUUAAACUAAUAAAAGAACUAACUUUUUCUUUAUUUUAUAACUUAUGGAUUUAAUUAUGGUUACAUAUUUUUCUUUAAUGAAGUGACUCUUGAACUUCCAUAACUUGAGGACAAGUUAUGGAGUCAUAAAAAAUUAUUCAAUGACACAAGACUCUUCAUUUUGUAACCAUUGCCAACUUUUAUGAGUUUUAUGAGUCUUUAAUGUGACUCUUCAUGUAACUUGAGGACAAGUUACACAAACACAUUUUAUACUCAACUCUUAGAUUAAAAUGGAUUGAAAACAACUAUUUCAAUUAACUUUUCUAUUAAUCUAAGCAACUCAUAAGAACAAGAUAAUUCAAAUCAAUCUUUUUCAUGUAAUUAGUCUAAACCUUAAACUAAUACAAAACAUGAAUCUAUUGACAAUUAUCUUUGAAAUUGGAUUAGCAUGAACAUUACCACAUCAAAAACAAGUUUAUAAGUCCAAAAACAUCUUAGGGUAAUGUUCCUAGUCCAAUUCCAGCCAAAAAAGUCAAAUAUAUGCUGUCUGGGGGUCCAACUCGUUGAGUGCACGAACAAACUCGGCGAGUUGGAUGCAUUUUUCCUUGGACUCGGUGAGUCCAUCAGUGGACUCGGCGAGUCUGCUGAGCAGACAGCAUAAAAACUCGAUUUUUCAGCCAAUUUUGCAAGUAUAACAAGAAAACAAGCCUAGGAUAUGAUACCACUGAUGGGUUUUGAGCAUUCUAACACUCCUAAGUGUACAUUCAACCCAAAAUACCUUGGAUCUAUGUUUUCUCUAUUAUACAUGAAAAUAUGAACUUUCCAAGGUAUUCAUCCUAACUAGCAUAAUAACAUUGAUUCAAAUGAAUAUAUCAAGUUAGAAUUACAUAACUCUUUGAUGUAGAUUGUUUUCAUGAAGCUUGAGUGCCUAGUGCCCCAAGUGUGACACCUCAAAUGGUUCACACAACAUCAUAUGCACUUGGAAAGACUUGAGAGAAUUCUACACUUCAUGAAAAUCGGCUAGCCCUUCAUAUUCAUACAUAGUAGUCGAUUUUCUCCAAGAAUAAGAUCAUUAUAUAGUUAGGGUUACACCAUGUAAAACCCUAAUUAUCAUGGCCUUUCAUUUCCAUGAUCCAUGGGUACAAAUACACCAUGGAGCAUCCAUGGAGCAUGUUAUGGGUUUUAGCCCAACUUGACAAUCCAUGGAGCAUUAGCCCACUAUAUAAGUAUGGAUGAUUUACACAAUCAACUCAUAUAUUUAAUUCGUCUUCUUUUGAUCACUUAAUUAAUCCUAGAUUAGUUCUUGAUCAAUACUAAUUAAAUAAUCUUAUCAAUAUAUUAGGACUUAUAAUAUAACAAACCUUAAGUGUUAUUUCUCUUAUUAUAGUUUAUCCAAAUGCAUGAUGCCAUGCAACCCAAAUGGACCAUGCCAAACUGGGUCAAGUACAUACCAGAAAUAGUUAUGGACUUAGACACCUUAUCCAACAGUCACCCACUUGGAUAAGUCUAAUAACUAUAACUGCAAGUAUGACUUCAUUCGUACGAGUAGUUCUUUGUGGUGAGCGUCGAUUCUCUUCGUCAGGAAGAAGGAUGGUUCACACCGGAUGCGCAUUGAUUACCGGGAGUUGAAAAACUGAACGGUGAAGAACUGUUAUCCACUCCCAAGGAUAGAUGAUCUUUUCGAUCAGUUACAGGGAGCAUAUUGGUUAUCCAAGAUAGACCUAAGGUCCAGGUACCAUCAGGUCAGGGUUCGGGAGGAUGGCAUGGAAAAGACCAUGUUAUGGACUCAUUGUAGACAUUACGAGUUUGUGGUGAUGUCAUUUGGGCCCACCAACACGCUGAUAGUAUUUAUGGACCUGAUGAAUCAGGUCUGCAUACCGAUGCUCAAUCGCUCGGUCAUCAUGUUCAUAGUUGAUAUCAUGGUGUACUCCAAGACCAGGGAGCAACAUGAGGAGCAUCUUCAUGAGCUACUGGGAGUUUUGAGACGAGAGUGGCUAUAUGCCAAGUUCUCGAAGUGAGACUUUUGGUUACGGGAGGUUCAGUUUCUUGGACAUCUUGUUAACCAAGAGGGGAUUUUGGUCGAUCCGUCCAAGAUCAAGGCAGUCAUGCGGUGGGAGGUUAUGAAAUCUCCCUCAGACAUCAGGAGCUUUGUGCGAUUGGUAGGGUACUACUGGAGAUUCAUACAGGAUUUCUCCAAAAUUGUGGUACCUCUCACUAGUCUUACGAGGAAGGGGGUGGUUUUCUGGUGGGGCCCAUAGCAACAGACUGCAUUCGAUACGUUGAGACGACAACUUUGCGAGGUGCCAGUGUUGACACUUCCUGAGAUAGUCGAGGAUUUUGUGGUGCUUUGUGAUGCAUCGAUCACCGUAUUGGGAGUUCUCCUAAUGCAGAGAGCACAGGUGAUAGCAUAUGCAUCGUGGCAGCUGAAUCCGCACAAGACAAGAUAUCCCAUAUGCGAUAUGGAGUUGGGAGCGGUGGUAUUUUCUCUCAAGAUUUGGAGACAUUACCCCUAUGGGGUCCGCUGUACCAUAUACACGAACCACAAGAAUCUGAGACACAUCAUGGAUCUGCCAAACAUGAACAUGAUAUAGCCCAGGUGGUUGGAUGUAAUUAAGGAUUAUGACUGCGAGAUCCUUUACCAUCCAGGUAAAGCGAACGUGGUUGCAGACGCUCUGAGCCGCAGGUCGGUGGGAUCUUCUGUCUCAGCAGCAUGCAUGAGGAUAUCUGUGGAUACUCCACUCGUGGGCUUGAUUAGGGAAGCUUGGGCUGAGGGUAUACGGUAGGAGAACUGGAAGCUUGAGAGGAUUAGGGGCGAGAUCACCCAAUUUGUGCAGGAUAAGCGGGGAUUGUUGACCGUUUAUGGCCGAGUAUGUGUUCCGAUUUCUGGUGGGGACAGAAAGAUUGUACUAGGGGAGGCUCAUAAGUCUCUCUUCUCUAAUCACUCGGGGCCACCAAGAUGUACCGGGAUCUGAGUUUGAGCUACUGGUAGUCGUGCAUGAAAGGAGAGAUUGCUUGUUAUGUCGAGAGAUGCUUGAUUUGCAGGAUGCUCAAGGCUAAACACCAGAGGCCACAUGGCAAGCUGCAGUCUAUGGAGAUUCCCAUGUGGAAAUGGGAGCAGAUCAUGAUGGAUUUUAUCACCAAGCUACCGAGGACGACAAGGGAUAUGAUGCAAUAUGGGUCGUCAUGGAUCCACUGACCAAGAGUGCCCAUUUUACGCCCAUCUAAGAGAUCUCAUUGUCCAAGAAGCUGGCCGACGUGUAUAUCUACGACAUCAUUGCUUGCCAUGGAUUUUCAAUCUCUAUCGUGUCAGACCGUGAUGUUCGGUUCACCUCCCGUUUUCGGUAGAAAUCCGAUGAGGAAUUGGGCACUCGGCUGCAUUUUAGCACAACUAUCAUCCGCUGACUGACGGUCAGAGUGAGCGGACUAUACAGACCCUCGAGGAUAUGCUAAGAUCUUGAUUUAUUGACUUCGUUGGGAGCUGGGACUCCUACCUACCCCUUGCAGAGUUCUCCUAUAACAACAACUUUCACUCCAACAUUGGUGCUCCACCUUACAAGCUGUUGUAUAGACGGAGAUGUCGCACCCCGGUCUGUUGGGGUGAGGUUGGCCAUAGAGUGAUAGGACGGACAGAGGUAGUUUUGCAGAAUACUGAGAGGAUUUAGUAGAUCAGGCAGCGACUGCAAACUACUUAGAGUCGGCAGAAGAGUUACGCCGACCGACACCGAUCUGAGUUGGAGUUUCAGGUCGGUGAUAUGGAGCUACUGAAGGUCUCACCCUGGAAAGACGUGAUUCACUUCAGGAAGAGGGAAAAUACAUUGGUCCAUUCAGGUUUAUUGCCAGGGUUGGCAAGGUGGCGUAUAGACUGGAUCUUUUGGAGGAGCUUAGUCAGAUCCACAACCCUAUUCACGUUUCGCAAUUGCGGAAGUGUAUACUAGAUGAGGAGGCGGUGGUGUCAUUAGAUGAUAUUCAGGUCGAUGAGCGCCUACAUUAUGUAGAGAGGCCAGUGGCCAUUCUGGAGAGGAAAGUGAAUGUUCUACGGAAUAAGGAGGUGCAUUUGGUAAAGGUGCAAUGGGAGCAUCGGAGGGGAUUCAAGUGGAGUUGGGAGCCGGAGGCAGAGAUGCGGGAGCAUUACCCGAAAUUGUUCCCCGCAGUAGACUUCGAGGACGAAUUCUAGUUCAAGUGGGGGAGAAUUGUAACACCCCAACCCCCAAGUAUAAUUUUUAAAGCUUUAUAUUUAUGUUUUUAGACCUACUCGACGAUUUGGAUGCCUCAAUUCGUCAUGUAGAGAAGGUUAAAGUCGCAUGGAUUCUAGGACCUACUUGACGAGUUUGAGGACCCAACUCGACGAGUAGAGGUUGUGUUUGAAAAACCUAAUUUUUAGGGUUUGCACCCUAUUUAAAGGACCUUGAGUCCAUUCCCCCUGCCACUUUGCCAUGUUUCACGUCUAGAAGCGAACCCUAAUCGAUCUAACCCUAUUUUGAGUGUGUGAGGCCAAAAGUGUGUGUUUGAUGCAUUUCUUGAAGAGGCUUGAAGAUUUAGAGGCUUGGAACGAGGAGAAGCUUGUAGAUCUAGUAUCUACAUCGUGUUGGCAUCCAGUUGAAGGUAAAAAGUCCAUACCUUGGCUGUCCAUUUCUUAGAUCUCUUCUUAUGUUAGUAUAUGGGCAUUUUGGUGCAAAAAUGGAGUCACUUUCGGAUUUGAGCUUGCCACAAGGGCAUGGUUUUAGAUCUGGACUUCUCUAGGCCUUAUAGACAUAAAGCCUCAAGCUUUAUGAAGCUUUGCCCCUCCUCCAUGUCCAAGACCUCUUCCUAAGGCUAGUAUUGAGUGUUUUAGCUUCAUGGAGCCUUGUAUGCACGUAAAGUUUCAACUUUACGUGGUGACUACACCCUAGGAGGCUAUAUCUACAGUUUGGAGCCAUGGUUUCACUUAAAAGCGUCUGGAUGAGAAAAUGACUGACGGAACUCGACGAGUUGGAUGAGGGUUACCCGCUUUCUGGAUUCUGCAUGAACUCAGCGAGUUAAGUAGAUAACUCGACGAGUUGGUUAGGGUUUUCCCGACAUUUUGGACACUGCAUAGACUCGACGAGUUGUCUUGAAAUUCGACGAGUCAACUGGGGUAUUCACAAUUCUUUGAGUUAUAAAGGAACUUGACGAGUCAAUAAGCAACACUCGACGAAUUGGGUCAACAUGGACUGUUGACCUUGACCGUUGACUUCGACUUUGACCAAGGGUUGACUAGUUGGACUUUUGAGGGUAUCUUGGUAAUUUGGGGUUUUGAUGGACUUGGUCCUAUGGAGUUUAUAGGUGGUGAAGUUCGUGGCUGUGAUUUGGGAGUUUGAUUUUAUCACUACAGAUCGACAUUGUGAGGUGAGUUGUCCUUACUAUACUAAUAGGGUUGAAGGCACCAAUGCCGACCCUUUUCAGAUUUGUAUACGGGUUUAUUGAAUGUUGAUAUGCUUAAUUACCUGUUAGGUUGGUAUCCUAGUAUAUAGGAUGAUGCUAUGUUAGUGACAUGUUUGGUUGGUAUCCCGGUAUAUAGGAUGAUGCUAUGAUUAGUGAUCUGUUAGAUCUCUCUAACUGUUUGUUUAUGCUAGCAUUUGAUACUUAUGAGUUGAUUGUGUGAUUGGGGAUGGGUUGAGGCGGUCUCUGCUUUGUACUCUAGGCCAACAUACCUAGGGCGGCCCGGAUAGACUACAGACCCGUUAAGGGCACACUAGUCAGACUGGAGGCCCAGCAAGCAGUUCGUAUAGGCUGAAGGCUCGUGAGACGGUCCAGAUGUGUUAAUGGCUCAGAGAGCGGUCCAGAUAGAUUGAUGGCCCUACGAAGCGUUCCGUUCAGGUUGAUGGAUCAGUAUGUAUGAUGUUUAUUUGCUAUGAUAUGGUUAUGUUAUAUGGUGUUGGUAUUUUAGGGGAACUCACUAAGCCUCGGGCUUACAGUUUUGGAUUUUGUUUCAGGUACUUUAGAUGAUCGCGGGAAGGCAAAGGCGUGAUCAUGCUCCUCAUAUUUUAUGAUUUUGAUUUUCGGGAUACUCUAAUAUGAAUUAUUUUGAUAACAUUUUGUAAUAAAUAGUGGUUUUUGAAUGAUUGAAAAAGUUUUAAAUUUUCAUGAAUUUUAUGGUUGUUACACAAGCACAUAUAGAUUUUUGUUUGUUAUGCUCAAAACUCAUCAGUGGUAUUAAAGCCUUGGCUUGUUUUCUAUUGAAUCGAUUACAAUUGUUUGAAUUGAUCAGUUAGGGUAUAGGGCAAUUAAACCAUUUUGGUCAUAGGGAUUUAUGAUGCUAGGGUUUCUUGAACCCUAACAUUCGGAAAUUUGGAAAGGGUUUAACGCUUUCCCUUUCCCUAGAAAUUUCGAAAUUAGGGUUUCCUUAACCGUCCAGAAUUUCGAAAAUGGCAAGGAUAAUUUGGAAAGAAUUUAACCCUUUCCCUUGCCCUACAAAUUUCGAAAUUAGGGUUUCCUUAACCGUCCAGAAUUUCGAAAAUGGCAAGGAUUGAAAUCCUUGCCUUCCUGCCCAAGAUAAGCCAAUUUUUGAAAAUUAGGUUUUCUGGUAGGGUUAUCUUAUUUUUGGUAAUUACCUCCUUAUUUGAUUAGUUGGAUAAUUAUAAAUUUUGAUUUAUCACUCCCAUGAUUUUAGAAAUUUUGGGGAGAGGAUUAGGUUAAAUUAUCUUGAUUAAUUUAAUUGGAUAAUCCUCAACUUAUUUAAUAAAUUAAUUAACUGUUUAGUUGAGAUAAUUAUUAAAUCAUUUGGUUUAAUUUUAAAUUUAAAUUAAAUGUUUUAGUUUUCGAAAUUUAAUAAUUAAACCUAGUAUUUUGAAAUGUUUAAAAUACACCUUAUACUAUAUGUAAAAUUAAAUGUUAAAUAUUUUCUAUAUGUAUAAGUCUAAGUCAGUCGAACCGCUAGUACGUCUCAUUCACGAAGCCGAUCUAUAAGGGGAGUUUAAGGAAGCGGGCUAUAAAAUGACCGCCAUUGGGUAUCCAGCCACCGCUCCCUUGAUUGGUGGAGGGUCGUUACCUGAACAGGUUUAAUCAAACAAAUAAUUCUCAUUAAUAAGUAUAAUGAAUUAUAAAGUAACUAAUUCCUUUUAUAAAAUUUCCAAUCUUAGUUACUUUAGGAAAAAUGUGAAUUUGAUGCCAAUCCAUGAAAUUGCACAUUGCACUUUAUAAGUCGUUAGCAGAGCGUGUGUGGUUAACCGGCACACUAAUAUGGACUAAUACAGAGUGGAAAUGAGUGUCUCGUAAAUUAUCAUUGAUUAAUGGAGCGUGUAUGGCUAACAAGCACAUUAAAUUGAGAUGAUAAAUUACAUAGAGAGUACCAAGCGAAUUUGCAUAGUUAUUCACAUCAUGUUUGUGAUCCUCGGUAUCCUGGUCACAAAUAAAAGAGCAUAAUCCAGAUUAAACAUGCCAUUGAAUAGUUCAGUGAAUCUUAAAAGCUAUAGUAAUUUCAUUAAAAACCUAAUUUGUUAAAAAAAAAAAAUUGUUUUGGUGGUGAAAUUGGUAAAUCGUCAUUUACCUACCUUUAUUUAUUUCACAAUUAGAUUGUGACAUCCCUUUUCUAAGUUGUGAAUUAUCUAGUUGGAUCCUAGCCUUAAUAUUUCAUUUGGGUGUUAUAUUGAGGAAUGUUCUUAUCUAAACAAAACUAUCUUUCUUCUUUUUCAGAUGUCUACUCACAAUGAUGCUUCUUGCUCCUUCUCCAACAACAACAAAUUCUCGCUCUUGAACAUCUGCUCGAGGGUUACUUUUGAUGUCACCAAUUACAAUGAUUGGAUGUGAAACAUCAAAAUGGCUCUAUGUUUCGAGGAAAAAGAGUGUGUGCUCAAAAAGGAACUUCUCGAGAUUGAUGAAAACAAAUCUAUUGUCGCAGAACUAGCUGAGUAUAGGAAACAAUGUAAUGAAGCAACCAAAGUGGCAUGCAACAUGGUGGCGACUAUGACUCCUGAGCUACAAAGGUUCUACAAGGAUUACUUUCCACACGAGAUGAACAAGGACUUGAUGGAAAAGUACCAUGAACGAGCUCAUUAAGAAAAGUAUGAGGUAGUAAAGUCCCUCAUCAAAAGCAAGAUGAAAGACGGAGAGUCGGUCAGUAGCCACGUGCAAAGAAUGCAACGAUACAUGGAGCGCUUGCUUAAACUCAAUGUGAUCUUUGAUGAGGAAUUGGCAAUUGAUAUAGUCUUCCACUCAUUGCCCAGUUUUUAUGAUCAGUUUAUCUGAACUUAUCAUCUGAACAACCAAGAGACCACAUUGGCUCAACUUCAGAACCUCCUGUGAACUGCUGAAGUAGAAAUGAAGGGAAAGGGUAUUUCCUCCACCCCUGUUACUACUCCUGUCUUGACCAUUGGGCAAGGAAAAGGGAAGAAGAAUAAAGUUUCUCCUAAAAAUAAUUGGAACGGAAAGUCCCAAGUUGGGUCGUCAAGCAAUGGACCUAAAGGAAAGGCCAGUUCGGACGCUCCUCCUGCCUUUGAUCCCAAAGAGGCUACUUGCUUUUACUGCCAUGAGAAAUGGAAUUGGAAAUGAAAUUUCCUAAGUACUUGCAAUAUAUAAAGGAUGGCAAAGUAAAGCUAACCUCGACAGGUAUUUACAAUAUCUUAUCUAAAAACUCAUCAUAUUCUCAUUUUUGGGUCCUUAAUACAAGAUGUGGUUUUCACAUUUGUUCUGAUUUGCAGGGGCUAAGAAAAAGUAAGGAUGUAGCGCAUGAUAGAAUGAACUUGAUCAUGAGCAAUAGGUGGUCUUCACCUGUUACCAAGAUUGGAGUUUAUAUCUUAGUGCUUACUAGUGGGUUAGGAUUGGAUUUAUUAAAUUAUUGCUACUCGUCAGAGAUGACACGAAACAUCAUUUCAUUUCAUGCUUUAUAUAAACAAGGUUUUCGAUAUUCUUUCAAUGAUGAGAAUGGAUCUAUUUUUGCUUUUAAAAAUGGUGUAUUUAAUUUUGAAGAUUUAACUUGUGAUGGUGUGUAUGAAAUUGUGAUGGUUGUAGACAACUUAGGUAAUAGUGUGUUACAAAUUGAUUUGUAUAAUGGUAUAGACAAAGCAUGUUUGUGGCAUUGCCGUCUUAGAUAUGUCAACAAGAAACGCAUCUCCCAACUCUAAAAGGAUGGAUUGUAACCAUUUAACUUAGGUCCAGAUGACACGUGCAAGUCUUGUUUACUAGGAAAGAUGACGAAAUCACCUUUCACUGGUUCUUGUGAAAGAGAUGAAGGAUUGUCGGAUCUCAUAGACAAAGAUGUGUCUGGGCCCUUCAAAUCCACUACAAGUUAUGCAAAUCGAUUCUAUGUGACUUUUACUUAUGAUUAUAGCAGAUAUUCCUAUAUCUACUUAAUUAAGCAUAUGUCAAAAACCUUUGAAAAGUUAAAAGAGUUCAAACGAGAAUUCGAGAAACAAUUGGGCAGGAAGAUCAAAAUGCUCAGAUCCGAUAGAGGUGGUGAGUAUCUUAGUGGUGUGGCUGAGAGGCGUAAUCAAACCUUGUUGGACAUGGUUCGUUCCAUUAUGAGUCGAGCUUCACUUCCAAUCUUAUUCUGGGGGUAUUCCUUAGAGAUUGAUGCCCACAUUCUUAAUCUUGUCCUAACUUAUAAGGUUGUCAAAACACCUCACAAGUUGUGGACAGGGAAGGUUCCCUCGUUAGCACAUAUCAAGGUUUGGGGUUGUGAAGCUUUUGUUAGACUAGACAUUUAUGAAAAUCUUGAACCUCAAAGUAAGAGAUGUAUUUUCAUCGGCUACCAACAAAAGUCCUUUGGAUAUUUUUUCUACAGACCUAGUGACAAUGUGGUCUUUGUAGCACGAAGGGGAGUCUUUCAUGAGAGAGAGCUCAUAUGCAAAGAGGACAGUGGGAGCACAUUUGAUCUUGUAGAAAUUCAAGAGUCAAAAAAUGAAGGAACCUCGCAAAAUGCUAGGGCUCAACUUGAGGAAGAAACUUUGAGAGAAAUGUCACACUACUUGAAAAAGGCUACCCCUCUUUUUCUUUCUUAAGUGUCAAUUUUGGUGAACAUAAGGGUCCUUAUAUAGUGUGUUACAAUUAGGGUUACACCAUGUAAACACUAAUUUUCAUGACCUUUCAUUUCCAUGACCCAUGGGUUCUAUAACCACCAUGGAGCAUCCUAUGGGUUUUAGCCCAACUUGAUAAUCAAUGGAGCAUUAGCACACUAUACAAGUAUGGAUGAUUUACACAAUCAACCCAUAUUUUUAAUUAGUCACCUUUUGAUCACUUAAUUAAUUUUUGAUCAAUACUAAUUAAAUAAUAUUAUUAAUAUAUUAGAACUUAUAAUAUAUUAAUAAACCAUAAGUAUUAUUUCUCUCAUUUUAGUCUAUCCAAAUGCAUGAUGCCAUGCAACCCAAAUGGACCAUGCCAAACUGGGUCAAGUACAUACCAGAAAUAGUUAUGGACUUAGACACCCUAUCCAACAGUCACCCACUUGGAUAAGUCUAAUAACUAUAACUGCAAGUAUGACUUCAGGAACCGAUCAACAAUCAUAGCUCUUUCAAGGUCUCUCAAAACUGAGAUGAUGAUACGCCAUUUAAGAUAAGUGAUCAUAUAAUCCUAUGUUCUAGAUAUCAGCCGGACAAAUACAUGGAACAAUGUCUUACUUAUUGUCCAGCAGUUUGUUUCCCGAUUUCCGAUUUGUUUGACAAAGAACUUAAUUGAACACAUCAAUUUAGUUCUGACCGGGCCCGGUACAUAGGUCAAAACAAAAUCAUCGAGGGGCCCAGAUAUUAGCUUCUAAUCCAAGAAGGAACAGAUAAACUUCGACUCAUAUGUUUGUUCUACCACUCAUUGAAUUACACACAAAAGCACGUUUUAUAACAUCGAGUUACCAAUGCGUUUUCGUACGAUCAAUGCAUAACCAACUCAUAGGAAUCAAGUCAUAUCUCUAGGUUUGAAGACUUGACUGAUAUUACCGUCUCACGAUCACUCGAGAUAAAUUCCAUGAAGUGAUACCAGUGAGCAUGGGGUGAAUCCAAUACUUAGAACUUAUGAGCACUCAUGAGUGUUGUAGCUAUGUCCGACAUCUUAGACCUCUACAAGCCAACCCAUGACAAUAUUAAUUCAUGCCUACUUCCGACAUAUGACUGACUAUGGAGAAUUUGAAUGAUAUGUAAUACCAAACAUAAUUAUUCUGGAAGUCAAACAUGUAAAAGAAAUAAUAGUAAACGAUUAACAAAAGAUAGCAACACUUUACUCAUAAAUAAACACAACUUUUAUUCAUCAUCAAAUGUCAAUUACACUUUACAAAUUUUAUAGCUAUCUAACUACUAAAACUAAUAUCAUCCUUCAGCCCUAUGCGCCUCGCAUGCUGGAGAUGCUUAACCCUACUCAG